rnacentral:lncRNA from 1 species
AAAAAAAAAAUCUUAGCUAAGGGGAGGGGUGAUAGAUUUCCCUCAUCUUGAAUAAUCAAACAUGUGGCAUAGAAUAGCCAUAUGCAUGCACAAGUUGGAAAGCAUCAGCAUCUAGAAUCUUGCUCUCAGUGGUCGCCGCUUUUCUCAAAUUUUACUGGCCCUUUUGGUUUUGGAGACCACGUGGGGACGGAUGAGGGCCGAUGCGCGGCAACAACCACAAGUCACAGUCACACUCACGUUUUGCACUCUCAACAGUUGCAGUUGCAGGUCGAUGGUCUUCUUCGCCAACCACGUGUACCACAAUUAAUGUUGACGAUGCAUGGCACGUGCCAGUUUCAUUUUUCAGACCUGGUUCCUUGUACGGUUGGUGUAUUGACUGCAAACUUGUGCGGCAGUCAAAAGAAAGUGCAGGUGCUAGAAAAGCAGGGUUGGAGAUGAAUCGGAUAGCUGCACGAAUUUGACUGACGGAACCACGCAACAUAUCUGCACUUAUAAAAAUAUUCUCCUAAAAAUAAUGAAAAUAUUGUUUUCCCUCUCGAAAAAGUAAUCAAAAGCUCAUUUCCUGAGGAGACAAAAUGAUCCCAAAUAUAAUCAAAUACUAUAUAAAAACAUUAAUAUUUAUGAUGCCUAAUAAUAAAUAUAUAUUACUUGAUUAAUUAUGGAAUAAUUUUGUUAAUAAACCUAAUUAAAGAUAGAAAUGCUUAUACUAUUGCUAUAUAGAAUUAAUUAGUUAACCUUGAGAUUAUUUGAUUCCUCAUAUUUCCAUUCUUUUUUAGGCUAGUCUGAACGAGAGUUUCAUUUGCAUUUAAGGUUAGUCUCAAUGCAUAGUUUUAUGGCACAGUUACCAAGAUUAUAAACUAGGUAACCGAGCCACAUGAGUUUUAUGGGGAUGCAACUCCUCUCUAAUCUGAUGAAACUCCUUCAUUUAAUGACCCUAUCAAGUCAGCAAUUUUGUUUAUGUGGCACCCUAUUUAAUGUACAUGACACUCUCAUGAAACAUGUAUUGAGACUGGCCUAAUAAUCUGCCACAAAUGCAUUUCUUACCAGUGGCGGACCCAGGAUUUGGUUAAGACUAGGGCCAAAUCCUAGUAGCGAAAAGUCAAAAACUACGCCGUCGUCUAUAUAAUCUAUGUAUAAAAAUUGUUAUUACAAAGAAAAUUUUUUUAGAUCAGAAGUUCUCCAACUACAUAUUGCCAUACAAUUUCUAAGAAAACAACAUUGAACUAUAAAAAUAAAUACUUAGCAAUGAUAAGAAUAUAACAUUGAACUACAAAAAUAAAUACCUAGCAAUGAUAUGCUACAUUCGCAUUUUUCAUGUCCUUUUCAGUAUCGCCUAAAUCUAGACACAAGAUGUGAGCGUUGGUUGAUCUUCUCCCGCUCCUUCCUCUCAGUGAUGAUGUUGUCUUGCCUACUCGCCCGACUAUGGUGCAGUGAAGCGCUGGCGGGCAACGAGCACCAGUUACGAGCGGCGGCGCGAGCAAGCAAAGCAUCGAAGCGAGAGGGCGAGACAACAAGAGAAUAGGCGUCGAUUCCUAAUCUCUCUGGGCUGGUUGGCAUUAAAGCUAUUGGGCUAAGGCCUUGUUUAGUUGGAGAAAUUUUUUGGCUUUGGCUACUGUAGCACUUUCGUUUGUAUUUGAUAAUUAUUAUCUAAUUUUAUAGACUAAUUAGUCUCAAAAGAAUUAUCAUGUAAAUUAUAGGCAAAUGGUGUAGUUAGUUAUUUUUUAUAUCUAUAUUUAAUGUUUCAUGUAUGUGUCUAAAGAUUCGAUAUGACAAGAAAUUUUAAUUUUUUUUUGAAAUUAAACAAGGCCUAAACUUUAAUAAAUUAAUAAAACAAUGGUCUAGAAAUUAAAGAGUUGUACCUAGAAUACCUAGUUUACGACUAGGGCCAAGGCCUUAGUGGCCCUAGGCCUGAGUCCGCCAAUGUAUUCUUACAACAUGAUAAUGUUUUAAUGAAGAUAGAGAAAAAAAAUAAGUUCUAUGGAGAUAUAGCUCUCUUGACACGAUUACCAACUCUCUAUGUGAAGCGCCCCUGGUAAAACAGGAACUCAAAUGUGAUACAAUACUAGUCCCAGGAGGCUAGUAACACAUUUAUUACAUCAGAUAAGUUUCAGCGCAGUAGUCUCGGUAAGCGUGGACAAGGAAGGCACGCUAUAAUAAUAAGACACCAAAAUACAACAUAGGUUCAAAGGACCCAGAAACAAACGAUUUCACAAUCGAACAUCUGACGAGUCCCAAUGCCACAGGCUUAGUUGGGUGUAGACACGACCUUACUCGAACGCCACUUCGGGAUCGAAGUCCGGAUCUUCCUCUGUUUAAUAAAGCAAGGGUGAGUACAAAGUACUCAGCAAAUCCAACUGUCGACGAAAGCUAGUCGGCAGUCUACCUUGGGGUAUACCCACGGUAGUAGUUUAUCGGUAGACGGUGCGCAAACUACGAACUCGAUGGUGACGCAAGACACGGACAAGCUUUUUAUCCAGGUUCGGCCGCCGAGUUGGCGUAAUACCUACGUCCUGCGUCUGGUUGUAUUGAUUUGUGCUGAGAGAAUAUGAUGUCCUAGGGGGUCCCUUGCCCCUCCUUAUAUAGUCUGGAGGGCAGGGUUACAGAUCUAAAAACUAAUCCUAGUCGGUUACAAUUGCCAUAGAUAAUUCGAUAUCAAUUCCCAUUCUAACCGACUAGAAUCCUGCUUGAUCUCCACGUCUUGUUUCCUUGCGCGAAACUCGGCUUGUCGGAUCAAGCCUUGAACUCGUCUCGUAGUGGGCCAAGCUUCCUGGCUGAAGUCUAACCGUAAGGGUAUAGGGGUUUAUACCCCCACAGCUAGUCCCCGAGCGCCAUGUAUUGUGAUGCAACACGCCGUCUUGAGCUUCUUCGAUCAGCGAGGCUUGUCGUCUUCAAUAAGCGGGGAAAUCGCCCAAGCAGUUGCAACGGUUCCUUGUCCAACUCGAAAGACAGUUGAUCAACGUUGACAUCAAAGAAGCAGGUUGUUCGAAGAAUGCAUGGUGCUCUAAAAAAAAUUUCUUUCCUGGUGAAGUGUGCCCACUUUGCCUUUUUGAAAGGUAGAAGCAUCAAAAAAGCAAGCAAAUUCACCGCUAGGUGAAGUGUGCCCACUUAGUCCCCGAGCCUGGUAGUAGGUGGCGUAGGCACGUGGUGCCAGGGUCAAAAGAAAAUUCCCCAAAGUAGUUUUGAGACUGAGAUGCAUCGCUAGAUGCAUCGUACCGAUGUAGUCCCCGAGCUUGCUGGAAGGCGAAGUAUGAGCCUUGUAGCAAGGUCUAAAAAAUUGAAUUUACCAGUCCCCGAGCAUGUCAUGCUCGUCUGCAAUCGAAAAGACCAAUCGACCAGUCCCCAGGCACUUAGUGUGCUGCUUGGAAUUAUAUGUUACUAUACUGUACGACCAGUCCCCGAGCAUCGAGUGCUCAGUUUCCUAAGCAUGCUUUAAAGCUUUGAGCUGAUAGACUGAGCGACCAGUCCCCGAGCGUCGAGUGCUCGGUGGUCGGUGCAGUCCUUGAAGUUCUGAGUUGAUAGACUGGGCAACCAGUCCCCGAGCGUCGAGUGCUCGGUGGUCGGUGCAGUCCUUGAAGUUCCGAACUGAUAGACUAGGCAACCAGUCCCCGAGCGUCGAGUGCUCGGUGGUCGGCGCAGUCCUUGAAGUUCCGAACUGAUAGACUAGGCAACCAGUCCCCGAGCGUCGAGUGCUCGGUGGUCGGCGCAGUCCUUGAAGUUCCGAGCUGAUAGACUGGGCGACCAGUCCCCGAGCGUCGAGUGCUCGGUGGUCGGUGCAGUCCCCGGAUUGCUGACUUACUGGCGUAUGUGUCUUCUUACUUUUGAAAAGAUCUUUCCAAUUAAAGUUGACGUGACGGGGUCUCCUGACGAUAUGUCAGACGGAUGCAUGAAAAGCUGCACCUAGCAACUGUACAACCGCUCUUUGCGUGGUUUGAGAAAAGGAAACCAUCAAUUGGUACGAAAACUCCGCCGCAUUAAUUGUCUAUAAUCAUUGUAAACCGAAACGCCGCGUCCGCCGCAUGGCCUGCCUACUUCCCGAGAAUACAGGAAGUGGGAGAGGUGGGGUCGCGGGUUUAUAAGGGCCUAAUAGGACCGCCUGUACCGCUUCUCCUGCUAUUGCCUUCAAACAUUCCGCUCUCAUCUUCUCCAAUCUCCUGCAUCUUCCUAACUCCAGCCCACAUUCGCACCUCUAAUGGCGAAGAGCGACUCCAGGAAGAGGGCCGAACUGAUGGCCAAGGAGUGGAAGAAGUCUCGCAGCACCGCAAAAUCUCUUGGUGACCUCGUCGAUAUGGGGCUUCUGCACGGCGCAGAGCUCGGCGGCUGGAGGGCGCCGGAGGGGGAGAGCUACCCCGACCCUCGCGCCGGUGAGAUCGUCGUUUUUGAGGAUUUCGUUAAGAGAGGCUUUGGUGUUCCUGUUCAUCCUUUUCUUCAAGGUCUUCUUUUGUACUAUGAGGCCUAUGUUGGCAUAGAGCCGCACUUCGAUCUGCACCCGAACUCAAUUCUCCUUAUUUCCACCUUCAUCCAUCUGUGCGAGGCCUAUGUUGGCAUAGAGCCGCACUUCGAUCUUUUCCGGUACCUUUUCUGCUUGAGGAAGAAGGGAGCAGUUGGAGGCUCCAAGGUUGCAGGUGGAGUAUACCUCAACCUUCGUGAUGGGAUGAAUAAUCGCUACCUGCACUGCCCAUGGAACACUUCCUUGACCGAAUGGUACAGGAAGUGGUUCUACGUCAGGGAGGAACCGGGCAGCUCCACGUUCUGCGACGUGGGGUACAUUCCCGAGAAGAGGUCGAGCUGGACCGACCGCCCAGAGUUCGACGGUCAAGUGGCGGAUCUGAUGAAGCUGAUCGACUGGUCGCGCCUGGAUGGGCUUGGCGUGGUCGGCAACUUCAUUUGCCGCCGGGUGAUGCCCUGCCAGAAGAGGGUGCACUCGGCGUACGAGUAUGCCGGAAGCGCAGACCCGACCAGGAUGCGGUCGGAGAUCUUGGAGAAAGCGGAGGUACAACAGCUGUUGAACGAGCUGUUUAACUUCGCAGAUGGGGGCUUCAUCCGUGGCAGUGAUCGGGUGCAAGCCUUCAAGUUAGGACGACCAGCACCAAAGGUAUGUAGCAGAGUCUGUUUGAUCAUUCGUAUAUCGUCUGCAGUUAACUCAUCUCUGUUGCUUUUGCAGGUCGGUGAUGUCGACCGGUGCGCAGUGUAUGUAUCACUGGCACCGGGAAUGGAAGAUCCUGUGGGAGAGGUCCCGCCGGAGGAGGACGCUGCUCGGUGUACUCAUUACACCAUCAGUGAGGAAGACCGAGCCCGCCCCGUCCCGACCUCCGAGGAGAGGGUAGCGGGGAAAAGGCCAUUGCCGGCGGAUCCCUUGCCGACACCGGAGCUGCCGGCAGACCUACCGGCGGAGAGCAGCCAAGCGCCGAAGCGUCGUCGGCUCGUGCGGAUCGUCGACGACGACGACGACGACGAGGAGGCUGCGCCGUCGUUGGUCCGACGGCCUCGGAACCGCCCAGACACUGCGCCGGUCGCCACUGAUCGAGUGGCCAGCGGCGCCGCUGCCCCGCAAGUUGCCGAGGUGGGGGCACAGGCGCCGACCGGCCGGGCGAGGAGGAGGUUUACCGCGACCCAUCGUCGGUCAGACCUGUAAGUGUUCGACUUACGUAUUUUGGACUCCUCUCUUUUUUUUUUAACUUUUGUUCCUGUAGUGCGGCAUCGGAUGUCGACCCUGGCCAAACUGCCGGCCAGGGAACAGGCGAGCCUGCCCGCGGUUCUGGGGAUGCGGCCCCCCAGACCACAGAGCAGGCAACAGCUGCGGUCGCGCCUGGGAGCACCGAGGGGCUCCCGAGCGCGGCGCCGACUACAACAAGCAGCCCGACCAGGGCUGGAGAGGCUCCCCCAACUGACUCCUCGGAGAAGGGAAGAUCUCCGACCGCUCCUCCUGCCGGGGGGAGUGAAGUCCCCCCGCCGCCCCGAGCAGGAGCCUCUCCGGCUGCGGGCUCCCCAGGUCUGGUCCAAGGGCCAGUGAUGCCUGGGACCACCACCGGGGGUGACGCAGCCCAGGAGGAGGAAACCAGGGCGGCCUCCGACGACGAGGUGGAAGAGAUCGAGGGUCGUCCCCGUGAUGGCCGCCAACACGUGUAUGUGUGGCGCCAACGCGGGGAUCACUUUAUCGGUCAUGAGGAGCUUGCCGAGUCCGAAGAGGCCGCCAGGGUGGAGCGCGCGGCCAAGCGCCUUGUCGACGAAGUCAAGGUAAGCGGCCUUUUGUGCUGCUGCACAUUCUUUUGCCUUGUCUUGCUUGAUCGUUAUAUGCUUUCUUUGUAGGACGUAAUGAAAACGGCAAAGUACCGGAAACGGUGCUUUGACCAGAUAGAAAGCGUCAUGGCCGAGAACAAGGCCCUUGCCGCGGAGGUAGACCGGUUGCGGGCGGAGGUCGGGGAGAAGGUGGUCGAGAUGAGCGCCGAAAAGGAGCGUCGUCUCGACCUCGCUCGUCGUCUGGCCGACCAGUACCGGCUGCAGGAAGGUUAGUCACACGCUCCGAGCAGUUUCGCAUACUUGUAUAGUUUGCUUUGCUGACCAGUUUAGGAUUCACGCAGACUUGGAGGAGGAGGUGGCGAGCCUCCAACAAGAGAAGGAGCAGCUCGGCCAACAGCUCGCCAGUGCACAGGAGUCCGAGCGGCGAGCGGAAGAGGAAUUGGGUCGAAAAGACCGGAAGUUAGCUGGUAAUGGGUGCCGCCUUGUUGGUUGCUGCCUGCCCCUUUGCUUGUCUGGUAUGCCGAAAGUAACGUUUCGUUUCGUUUGCAGUGCUCAAGGUGAACACCAAAAAGCACCUGGACGACCUGAUCAAGGACCGGGACUCCUGGAAGGUCAACUGUUGCAGGAUCUGGAAGGGAGUGUCCCCGGUCCUGGACCUGAUCAGUCCCGAGCUCCCGGAGAGCCAGCCCCGCGUGCCGCAGUUGACCCCGGUCGAGAAGGCGCAACGGGCGUGGGACUGGCUCCAGCAGUUUGUGAAGGACGCCGGGGAGUUUGCCGGCGCGCACGUCCUCAGCAUGGUACGCGCCCACUACCCCCUGGUCGACUUGAGCAGGCUGGAGAAGGGGUACCCGAAGGAAGUCGGCCCAUAGGAAGCGGACGAACUUCGGGGUAGUCUGCUGGACUUGUCGUCGACAGUGAUCGGCGACAUCAACCUGUGCGGAACGGCCACUCCUCCAGACCAGCCGAGCUCAGAUAGGUCGGCCAGGGAGUUGUCGGGCGCGUCCGUUGCUGGAGAUGGGCGGUCGACGCCUGCGGUCUCGACCAGCCAGGCGCCGGUGGCCCCGACCCCUUCGUCCGGGCAGCAGGGCCAGGCGGGUGAUCAGCCCGAGCAGCUAGGCCAAUAAAGUAGUCUGUAGGAAUAGACUAGUAUCUGCCCGUCAGGAUAUUUAUUGUAAACUUUGUAUGUAAAGUUUGUAAUAAAGUUUUCUUUUUUGUCAUGACUGUUGUUUUGAGCGCUGUAAAAAUAUCUGAGUGACGUGUCACCGUAUUUGUCUUGGUUGUCGCCAAGAGCAUCCAUUGCAGGAGUUUUGCCGAGUGCUGUGUAUGACAAGGUAUAGGCGAAAAAUAGAGAAUCUUAUUAUCAAAAAUUAUAAGAUACUUACAAAAGAAAGUCAUUAAAACUUUAUGGAUAGAAACGUCGCAGUUUGUCGAUGUGCCAAGAGUUAGGCACUCGUGUUCCGUCUGGGUAUGCCAAUCUGUAGGACGUAGGUCGUGUGACCUCGGUCACGACGAAGGGUCCUUCCCAGGGAGUGGAUAACUUGUGCAUUCCCUCCUGGCUUGUUUUCCAUCGAAGCACCAGAUCGCCGACCACGAAGGAACGGUCCUUGACGUUCCUGUUGUAGUAUCGCCUGACUGCCGCGAGAUAUUUUGCUGUUCGGAGACAUGAAACUAAACGCUUUUCCUCCAUGCAAUUGAUUUCGAGUUCUCUGGCGUUGUCGGCGGUCGCCUGGUCGAAGUGCUCGAUUCUGGGAGAUCCGAAGUGUAUGUCGGACGGCAAGACCGCCUCUGCGCCGUACACCAUGAAGUAGGGAGACACCCCUGUGUUUCGACUGGUCUGAGUUCGGAGGCCCCAGACCACUGCCGGCAAUUCUUUCAUCCAUCGACCGGGUGCUCUGUCGUUCUCGGUGUACAACCUUUUCUUUAGGGCGUCGACGAUCAUUCCGUUAGCACGUUCAACUUGACCGUUGGCACGUGGAUGUGCCACUGACACAUAUUUUAUGACUAUGCCUUUGUCAUCGCAGAAAUCCCAAAAAGUGGUGCCAGUAAACUGAGUGCCCAGGUCGGUGAUUAUGCUGUUCGGGAUGCCGAAUCUGUGUAUGAUUUGAUUGAGGAACUCCACAGCCUUCUCGGAGGUUGCCUUGACCAGGGGCAUGUAUUCAAUCCACUUGGAGAACUUGUCGAUUAACACGAAGACAAACUUGAAGUUGCCCGGGGCUGGUUUAAAUGGUCCGAUCAUGUCAAGCCCCCAGCAAGCAAAGGGCCAAGACGACGGGAUGGUUUGAAUUUCAUGGGCAGGUACGUGGGUCCUCUUAGCGAAAAACUGACAUCCUUCGCAAUGCCGAACCAGUUUUUCUGCGUCGCUGACCGCGGUUGGCCAAUAAAAACCUGCUCGGAAAGCCUUUCCGACCAGCGUUCUAGAUGCGGCGUGGUUGCCGCAGGAUCCGGCGUGUAUGUCCUCCAAGAGCUUGAUACCAUCGUCUUGGGGUAUGCACUUGAGCAGUACCUCGGAGCUUGCGUUUUUCCGCAUGAGUUUUCCGUCAACCAGGAUGUAGUUCUUUGAUCGUCGGAUGAGACGCUCGUUCUCUGUUUUGUCUUGAAAACCUGUCCCGUCUGAGAUGUAUUUGAUGAACGGGAUACGCCAGUCACGCCCACCGGUUGUCGGAGUGGCGUCAUCUAUGAGCAUUGCCUCGGUGGGUUGCUUGUCGACCAGGGGGGAGCUUACGCUCGGCUCAUGGAUGUCCUGGACGAAAAUACCCCGCGGGAUUUGGGCCCGAGACGAGCCUAACUUUGACAACGCAUCUGCUGCUUGGUUCUUAUCCCGGACCACGUGGAUGUACUCUAUGCCAUAGAAGUUAGUUUCCCAUCUGCGGAUUUCUUUGCAGUAGAGAUCCAUCUUCUCGUGGGUUGCGUCCCACUCCUUGUUGAGCUGGUUGAUGACCAAAGCGGAGUCGCCGUAGACAUAGAGGCGCUUGACCCCCAGUUCGACGGCUAGUCGUACGCCAUGUAAGCAAGCUUCGUAUUCGGCGACAUUGUUUGACGCCGGAAAAAGGAUCCGAAGGACGUAGCGGAGUUUGUCCUUGUUUGGUGAUACGAACAAUAUCCCAGCGCCUGCACCGUUGAUGUUCAAGGACCCAUCAAAGAACAUUGACCAGUGGUCUGAGACAUCUGGAACGGAAGGCUCGUUGAGAUCCGUCCAUUCGGCAAUGAAAUCGACCAGGGCUUGAGACUUGACAGUGGUGCGACUCUGGAACUCUAGGGAAAAUGGACAUAAUUCCAUUGCCCAUUUCACGAUUCUGCCAUUGGCGUCUUUAUUGCGCAGGAUGUCCCCGAGAGGAAAGCUGGUUGUCACCAGGACUCGAUGGCCGUCGAAGUAGUGCUUCAGCUUUCUUGACGUUAUCAGGAUGGCGUAUAUAAGCUUCUGUAUUUGUGGGUACCUGGCCUUGGAUUCGUUUAAAACUUCACUUAUGAAGUAAACGGGUCUCUGGACCUUGAAGACGUGACCUGGUUUAUCUCGCUCGACCACUAUUGCCGUGGAAACAACCCUGUCGGUUGCAGCAAUGUAAAGGAGCAGGUCUUCAUUGGGCUGAGGCGCUGUGAGGACAGGCGGUGAAGUGAGGAAGGUCUUAAGCUGAGUGAACGCAGCGUCGGCUUCUUCUGUCCAGGAGAAUUUUUCUGAUGCUUUCAAUAGUUUGAAGAAAGGGAGGCCUUUUUCUCCCAGCCUUGAGAUGAAACGACUGAGGGCGGCCAUGCAUCCGGUUAGCUUCUGAAUAUCCUUGACGUUAUUCGGUGGUCGCAUGUCGAGUACGGCUUUGACUUUUGAAGGGUUUGGUCGUAUGCCGUCGCAACUGACGACAUUGCCGAGCAGUAGACCGGAAGGAACGCCGAAAAUGCAUUUCUUGGGGUUGAGCUUCCACUUGUACCUAUUGAGUGCCUUGAAGGUUCGUUCUAAGUUGUCGAUUAGGGUGCUCGCGUCCCUUGUUUUUACGACCACGUCGUCCACGUAGGCCUCGACGAGGUCAUCGCGAAUCUCGUCGUGGAGGCAUUGCUGGAUGGCCCUUUGAUAAGUGGCCCCGGCGUUUUUAAGUCCGAAAGACAUGGUAGUGUAACAGUAUGCGCCGAAGGGCGUGAUGAAGGAUGUUUUGAUCUGGUCUUCUUCCUUUAACGAGAUCUGGUGAUAACCAGAGUAGCAAUCUAGAAAGGAGAGGAGUUCGCAUCCGACCGUUGAGUCGACCACCUCGUCGAUGCGAGGAAGACCAAAAGGAUCUUUAGGACAGUGUUUGUUGAGAUCGGUGUAAUCAACGCACAUUCUCCAUUCAUUAUUCUUUUUGCGUACAAGAACCGGAUUGGCGAGCCAAUCGGGAUGAUACACCUCUUUUAUGAAUCCGGCUGCUAGAAGCCGUGUUAUUUCUGUCCUAAUAGCCUCCUUUUUGUCACGAGCAAACCGUCGCAGUUUUUGCUUGAUUGGUCUUGCGGUCUUCGAGACGUUUAAGGAGUGCUCGAUCAGGUUUCGUGGGACACCGGGCAUGUCUGCGGGUUUCCAUGCGAAAACGCUCACGUUGUCCCUUAGAAACCUGACGAGCGCGUCUUCCUAUUUUGGAUCCAGGUUAGCCCCGAUGAGGGCUGUCUUCUCGGGGUUGCCUUCGACCAGCUGCACUUCUUUGUACUCCUUGGAUUUCGAAUUCUUUCUGGCUGUCUCCUGCUCAGGUAAUCGGAGCUGGUCGGGGGGCAGUUGUGCGGCUUGGUUUGCUGUUUCCGCCGUGCGGAUUGAGAGGUCAAUUGCCUCGGUGAUCUUGAAACUUUCUUCUUCGCAGGUGUACGCAGUGUAGACGUUGCCUCUGACGGUCAGGACACCCUUCUCCGUGGGCAUCUUAAGCACUAGGUAUGAGUAGUGCGGGACUGCCAUGAACUUUGUCAGCGAUGGGCGGCCCAGUAUGGCGUGGUAGGUCCCGUCGAAGUCCGCGACUACGAAGUUGAUGAACUCCGUCCGGAAGUGAUCGGGUGUGCCGAAUUGGACAGGCAAUGUUAUCUGUCCGAGGGGGACCGAACUUUGACCUGGCAAAACCCCCCAGAAUUGGGCGUCGUAAGGUUUUAGUUGCGCCGGUGAUAUCUUGAGGGCGGGCAGGCUGUUGCGGAAGAGGAUGUCGAUGGAGCUUCCCCCGUCCACGAGCACGCGCUCGAAUCUAAUGCUAUUGAUGCAGGGAUCAAGAAUUAGUGGGAAACGACCCGGCUCUGGGAUAGCGGCCCACUGGUCCUUCCUGCUGAACGCGAUCUCCCUGUGGGACCAGGCGGGAAAUUUCGGAUCUGCGAUCAGCCCGUCCGUGCUGUCUAUGUUGAGGCAGGCUCUCUUUAACAGCUUUCUUUCUCGCUUGGACUCAGUGGAGACUUUGCCCCCGAAAAUGGAGUGGACCACGUCGGUGGGGCUGACGUAUUGGUGUCGGGGGUCCCUGUCUUGGUCCUCAUCCUCAUCUUCGUGGUCGUGCCCGUCGCGUUUGUUGCUUUUCUUGGCGGUGUCUUCUUGGGCGGCCCGCCGUGUAUAGAUAUUUUUGAGGACGCGACACUCUUCCAUGGUAUGGUUAGACUUUGGGUGUAGCUGGCACGGUCCCUUCAACGUUUUGUUGUAGUCGUCUUGGUAGUCCCGUCGUCCGUUGGGACGUUUGACCGUGUUUACUUCGUGGUCGUAUUCGCGAGGGCGCUUUCCUCUGAAGUCGUCGCGGCUGUCGCGCCGCCGAUCCCAACCCUCUCGGUGAUCGCGGUUGUCGGAGCGGCGGUGAUUUCUGUUGUCGUAGCGACCACGACCGUCAUCUCGACGGGAGGGCUGGUCGGUGCCUCUCGCAUCGUCUCGGAUUAGUUUUUCUGCGUCAUCAGCAUCGGCAUAAUUUUUAGCCGUGGCGAGGAGCUCUGCUACCGUUGAUGGGCGCUUACGCAGCAGCUUGUUCCUCAGCGCUUCAUGGAAACGCAAGCCCUUGAUAAAGGCUGAUAUGGCCUCGUCAUGAGAAAUCUUCGGGAUUUUGAGGCGCAUAUCCGAGAAUCGUCGGAUGUAAUCGCGCAGAGGUUCAUUCUUCCUGUCUCUUAUCCUUUCAAGGUCAUACUUGUUUCCGGGCUGCUCGCAUGUGGCGAUGAAGUUGUCGAUGAAAGCCUGUCGUAGCUCUUCCCAAGAGUCGAAGGAGUCCUCGGGCAAGCCGAGAAGCCACUGAUGACCAGCCUGGUCGAGGACUACGGGGAAGUAGUUAGCCAUGACGUGCUCAUCUCCUGCCGCUGAUCGGACGGCGAUUUCGUAGAGGGUGAUCCAGUUCUCUGGAUUUUCCUUGCCGUCGUAUUUUUUAAGUUUUUCGAGCUUGAAAUUGCGGGGCCACACGACCUGGCGGAGGUGUGAGGAGAACUGCCUUAGGCCCGGAGGACCAUGGGUCGCAUCAUACUCGAUGCGGCGCAGGUUUUCGUGGACUGCUCUCUCUGCGGUGCGCCUGUUGAUGCGGUCCCGGGCAUCUUUGGGAGGGAUGUUGUGGCGGAGAUCCCCGUGUUGAUCUUCUUCUUCUUGGCCGCGUACGCGGUUCUGCUGGCGGCGGCCAUCGGCAUCCCGACCACCAUCGUCGCGCCGUGAGUCCCCUCGACGGUUGUCGGGGGAGCGGCUGCGGCGACGCCUGCUGGGUGAGGCCCGGCUACGAUGAGUCUGGUCGGAGGCGGCUCCCGUAUAAGAGACGUCCUGGACUCUCUUGAGCAGAGUGGCUGUCUGUCCCAUUGCGGCGAUCAGGUGUGCUCGGAUACUGGUCCGGACUCCCUGGCAUUCGGGGGUGUCACGAAGCCGAUCCAGGUUGGCCAUGGCGACAGCCACGUUGGCGCUUGGCGUUUUGUAGACCGGCUGGUCCCCGACCAUGUCAAAGGCAUCGUUGAGGUUACCUGGUGGCGUAUGUUGUUGCUCGUCCGCACGCCGUCGGGCGCGCUCGGCGUUACGCUGUUCGCGGAGUUGCCUCUGGUCGUCUGUUUCUCCGUCAACAGCCGGUUCGUCGGCGCUGACAUUGAAUACAAUAUCCCCUCGCCGGGGGGGGAAUAUCGGGAAUCGGUCGAAACCCGGAGGGUGUGAAGGAAAAUCCAGGUCGUAGUCCUCGUCUUCGGUGUUCACAACCUCGGUGGGGACGGAGCCGGUGCUUGAGUUGGUGCUGGAAACCUGGUCGUCCCGUAGCUCUCGUAUGGUCACCAUGUUAACAUGGUGACGAUUGUUCCUUGUCGGCGACCAGCCCGCUUUGCUGAAAACGGAUUGGACAUGCUGUGAGUAAACAGAGGCCGAGUUGUUCAGGCCGCAAGGAUAGUCUUCCUUUUUGAGCUCGACGGAUCGUCCUGAGGGGGUUGAGGUUAUCGUCAGGGACGUUCCCAACCGUUCGUGUGUGGCGACACGAGUUGGCCGGCGGAAUUUCGAAAAAUCCGCUCGAGCAGCUUGGUCGGGCCGGCGCAGAACUCCAUCUAUUAGUUGGGAGACUUCGAGUAGCUUGGAGUCAGCGCGAUCGAGCGCUUGGAGGAGGUCCGAGCAGUCGAUCUCCUUUCCCUUGUAGAGCGGGAACGGUGGUCGGGAGCUUGGUGCCGUCAUGCGUGUGGUCGGAGACGGCGUGAUCUCAGAUUGGAUCUGGAUCUCUUUCGGAACCGUGGUCGCGAAACCGCCGCUGCACGUCGUCCACGUGAUCUGGCCGACGGUGAACGUGAGGCCUUCGGGCACGGUCGCGGAAGCUGGGAUCGUGACCAUCUUGUUCGCCGGAAGAGUUGCACGCACACCCCCUACCUGGCGCGCCACUGUCGACGAAAGCUAGUCGGCAGUCUACCUUGGGGUAUACCCACGGUAGUAGUUUAUCGGUAGACGGUGCGCAAACUACGAACUCGAUGGUGACGCAAGACACGGACAAGCUUUUUAUCCAGGUUCGGCCGCCGAGUUGGCGUAAUACCUACGUCCUGCGUCUGGUUGUAUUGAUUUGUGCUGAGAGAAUAUGAUGUCCUAGGGGGGUCCCUUGCCCCUCCUUAUAUAGUCUGGAGGGCAGGGUUACAGAUCUAAAAACUAAUCCUAGUCGGUUACAAUUGCCAUAGAUAAUUCGAUAUCAAUUCCCAUUCUAACCGACUAGAAUCCUGCUUGAUCUCCACGUCUUGUUUCCUUGCGCGAAACUCGGCUUGUCGGAUCAAGCCUUGAACUCGUCUCGUAGUGGGCCAAGCUUCCUGGCUGAAGUCUAACCGUAAGGGUAUAGGGGUUUAUACCCCCACACCAACCUUACCCUACGGAAGGAGAUAACAAUAUAUAUGCAUAUGGAUAAAUCAAGGAUGAGGCUUAGUUUUAUUUGCAUAAAGCUAUCUUUUUACACAUGCAAGGUUUCAUUUCACAAGUACUGUUGUAAAAGAACUCUUUUUCCACAUAUGAUAGUAUUUCUGAAAAUGGGGGUUUGAUUACAAUUUUAAGUGUUGUUGAACCCUUGUUCCCACAACACAAUGGCAGUCAACCAUUUAUUUCCAAAAUCACACUCACUCACAUGCUUUCACUCAUCCCAACCCAUCUAGUUGUUGAAACCAAACCAUAACCCGUCCGAGACCGCGGACACGGCUAUCCAGAUAGAUUUACACUCUGCAGAGGUUGUACACUUUUUCCACAAGUAGGAUACCAUAACUUACACCGUCGUGCAAGCACAGAUCCAUCAAAGUCAUUACCCUCCAUAGCUAAGUAAUGGCGCUCACCACGGGAACACUAAGGCCACAUCUCAUGAUACCACAAUAAUCCACAAAGCUCUUGUCAUAUAUUUUCACAGUUUCACAUACAUCACUUAGUGUCCCGUUGCACACCUGCCUCCAGGUGAUUGCCAUACUAACUAGAGGGAUUUGGACUAAGCCUUUCCCAUGCAAGGCGAGUGGUUGUACGAUAAAUGAGUUAGACAAGAUGAAUCAUCAACUCAGUCCUUAAUCGAGACAAGGCGGAUAUCUUCUCGCUUAACCCCGCAAGGUAUAAGCCACAACACCAGGGCAUCCCCAAAAGAGAUCCCAUCCGCCCCGUCUCCAUAGUAAUCACAUCUAUAACUUGUUCAUUAACCCUUUUAUAAUACCCACAAUUUAUUUUCACCACUCACACCUUUUACUUUUAAAAUCAUUAUAUUUGAAAAAUAUAGCGAUGAGUAUCCAUGAUGAGUAACAAGUCCUAAGCAUACUAAAUAAUAAUAUUUCUGUCAUAGCAUAUUGUUUGUUCCUAGGUUCGAACAAGACAAUUAUCGGGUAAUAUCAAUUCAAGGAUGGCUAUUCAACAGGUUUUAACUAAGCAGCGAAAAUACUUCGUACAUAUAUCGUACAUGCAAUAUUUAAAAUGGCUUCUACGGGUUGUGUUUAAAAAUAGGAUCAAUAUGCAUCAAAGGGGAUCGGUUGGACUUGCCUCCGUCGGCGUCCUCGGCAAACUCCUGCUGACAGUCCGGGUCCUCGGCGUCAAACUCGCGGUACUCGUCUCCAACGUUCUCGUUUUCCGGCUCGUUCACUCCGUCAACUAAAAUACGCGACGAGCGACACAGACAACAGACACAGAUAAAUAAUCACAUAAAUUCAAAUGGGCUCUAAAAAUCAUGAAAUUAAUAUGGGAGGUAGAUCAUGAUUUUAGAUGAAUUUAGAAAAAAGAAUUAUUGAAAUCAGAGUUAGCAUGUGGCAUUUGUGAAAUGACCGGAAUUUAAUCAUGUGAAAAAGGCUAACGGUGAUUAAGGAAUGGAUGCUUCACGUGGACAUUUGUUUGGCUGGUAGUGCAUGGUGCAUGCAUGUACUAUUUGGAGUUAAUGCUUAUGGCCCACGCAUGCAUGGUUAGAGAGAAAUUAGCAGGAGUCAUUAGAGCUCUUCUGUAUGUCAUGGUUCUAUUCGUGGAGUUCUUGGCAGUGAAUCGGUACAGACAAAUACAAGAAAAAAAUACAGGAAAAUACUACAGAAAAACAGAGAAGAGCAAGGAGAUGCUCAUGAGCUGCUCACCUCGUCUUGCGACGACAGUCGAGCUCGGCUUGUGCGUAUGGCCGUAUACGGUAUACGCGAAGUGAGAGCGAGUGAGCGAGUGAGUGAACGUGUUUCUCGGGUGGUGAGAGUGAGCACCCGCGGCUGGCUUUUUAUAGGCCAAAGCGCUCAGCUGCGUGCCAUUAAAAAUGCUACUGUAGCGCAUGGUCGGUGCCUAAUUUGCAUGCACGAUGCAUGCAAAUGGACGGUGCCUAAUCACCGUGUCCUUGCAUGCAAGUGCAUGCAAAUGGACGGUGCAUGUUGUCCUGCAUGCAUGCAUGAGAUAUACCACGUGUGUGUGCACUGCUAUGUUUUCUUGCAUGUAAGCUUGCUGGUACUCGCUGUUAUUUGUGUGCGAAAAAUAAAUAUGGAUGGAUUAGAUGGAGAUACUAUAGAGCUCAAAUUAUUUUAUAGUUUUUUUGAAAUAUAUUUUAAAAAUAAUUUUUAAUGCGAGUGAUUUUUGAAUGUGAAUUUUUGGGAUGUUACACUAUGAGUCUUAAAAUUAAUUGUCUAUGAAACUCUAGAACAAAACUUGCGUCGAGAGUGUUUUCUCAUCCGAGUUUCAUUUUAUCUCUACUAUAAUUAAAAUCUUCUCCAGGCAAAUCCCACCUAUAAAAUCAACGACUCACAGCACAUGUCAUACAAAUUAGACGGUCCAGAUUAGAAGUAUGAUCACGACCUUACAUCUCUACUCUCCGCCCUACUCUCCGUCCUCAGCCUCGCGCGUCAUCUCCGUAACUCCGUAUCUGUAUCGCAACUCCGUAUCGCAGAAAACCGACCCCAGCCGUGGAGGACCGCGUCGGGCUGGCCUCCAUCGGCGGGGCGGCGAUGGAGGUGGGUGACCUGCAGAAGGUGUGGGAGGUCCGUGCUCUCAAGACCAAGCCCGACGCGGCCGCCGCCCGGGCGACGCUCGACCGCGUCGCCAGGCAGGUCCAGCCAAUCAUGCGCCGCCACGCCGGAGGACGAGGACUCCAGCGACGACGACGACGACGCCGGCGUCGCGCCACGCAGGAGCGGCCGCAAGGACCGUCACAGCGCGGUGCGCAUCGCGUGGGAGAAGCUAGUCCGGUGGUCCCGCUCCUGGCGCCGCCGCAACCGCAGCGACGUCCUCGAGAGCUCGCGCAAGGUAGGACUCUCACGGACUCUCUGGGCUUGGAUUUGGAUGCGCGCUUCCUUGCGGGAUCUGAUUGGGAGAAGUUGAGUGGUGGGUUUCGCAGGUGGUGGUUCUCGGGGGAGGGUCCUUCGGGACGGCCAUGGCGGCUCACGUGGCGGCCAAGAAGGCAGACCUCGAGGUGGCCAUGCUGCUCCGGGAUGACCUCGUCUGCCGGUCCAUCAACAACACACAUAUCAAUUGGUUGGUAACUUCUGCUGCCUGCCUCCUUUCUUGAUCCAUUUGGUAGGAUACUUUAUUAGGUUCUUGUUGCACUCAAAGAUCAUCUUGAACGAAUGGAUACUCAGAUUAUCCAGGAGCAGGGCAGGCUGUUAGACAUAGUGAUAUCAUCCUGUUAUUAUGACCAAUUAGGCAAUGACAAGUUUCAGAUUUGGAAAACUAAUUUUGUGUGCAUUUAGCUGUUACCAACAUCAAUUUGUGCUGCAUUCCAUCCACAUUCCUCAGAGUUCAUAUUUGUACAAGAAAAACGUAGAGGCAAUGUUUCCAAUGCGAAUGAUAAUGUGAAAGGAAACCUCAUCUGGUUUAAAUUGAGUAAUUGACUUGAACUCAUAGUGCAUGAAAAAGUGUAACUUUACCAUUUUAUCUUAAAGUAUCCAUCUCACCAGAGACAUGAUGUGGCAAUUGGCAAGGUCUUUGGAAUGGAGUUUUACUUCUGUUGAAAUUCUUACAAAAAACAAAUGCAAAUCCUAUUAUGUUUCAGGACCACAGUUUGUAUCACUAAAUCGAUUUUAACUCAGUAUUUCGUGACAUGUAAGUUUGAGGUAGCGAAAUCUGUAAAUUUUUUUAUUGUACUUAAGUGAGCUUUGCUGUAUAUUUGUACCUUAUAUUUGGUAACUUUUCUACAUAGCAUUUGUUAAAACCAAAUAUAUGUUCCCAAAUGAAGUACCGUAAUUUUUAUAUAAACUUUUUUUGUUAGUGGGGUAGGUUUGUUUUUUAGUUUUAUGAUUUAUUUUAGUUUUGUAAUUUUUUUCUAAAUGUCACCGUAGCGUUAGCACGGGUAAUAUACUAGUUCUACAUAACAUGAUAGUCUUAGAAACUGACUUCAGUGCCACUGCUCUAAAUUUUUUUUGCCCUCCAUGCCACUGCCGCUGGAUUGUGCUCUAAUGGUGUUAAACGUAGGUGUGAAAAGACAAAAAUAGCCUUAGGUCUAAAUAUAUCAUUAGUGUUUUUGAGCAUCUUAACGACUUCAAAUGAAAAAACUCAAAACUAGAAAGUUGUAGAUCUCGUCAAGAACUACAAUUUUCAUAUAAAAAUUAUUUUCAUUUAAUUUUGCAAAAAAGAUAUGUUUUGAUAUGGUUAAUAUAUAUAUCUUAGGAAAAUCGUAUCUUUAUUGCGAUAUUGAAUGAAGAUAAUUUUUAUACGAAAAUUUUAGAUCUCGAUGAGAUCUACAACUUUUUAGUUUUGAGUUUUUUCCAUUUCAAGUCUUUAAGAUGCUCAAAAAAAUUAACAACAUAUUUACAUCUUAGGGUAUUUUUGACUUUUUACAUCCACGGUUUGACACUGUUAGAGCCUAAUCUAAUUGCAGUGGCUUGGAGGGCAAAAAGAAUUUGAAGCAGUGGCACUGAAGUCCGUUGAACUUUUUCACUGGCUUACAAGGAAUUGUGAUCUUUUACAGUGGCUCAAAAUGAAUUCUCUUUUCGUUCUAUAGUUUGAUAUGUAUUUAAUUUUAUUACUCAUAAAGAGUUGAUACUUGUGCUAAUGAAACUUAUGUUUUUCUCUUCUUUUUUCUUAAAACCGUUAUCACAUCAUCGAAACAGCUUUAUUAACUACAAACAAAACUCUGAUGCCCACUGAGAAUGUGCAUAGAAAAAGGAGACUUCGAGGGCUUGUUUAGGCCUUGUUUACUUCGCAAAAUUUUGGGUUUUUGGCUACUGUAGCACUUUCGUUUUUAUUCGAUAAACAUUGUCCAAUCACAGAGUAACUAGGCUCAAAAGAUUCAUCUCACAAAUUUCAGUUAAACUGUGUAAUUAGUUUUUAUUUUCAUCUUUAUUUAAUGCUCCAUGCAUGCGAUCAAAGAUUCGAUGUGACGGGGAAUCUUGAAAAUUUUUACGAACUAAACAAAGCCUUAGUUUCCCAAAAACCAAAAAGCUUUCAAGAUUACCUGUCACAUCAAAUUUUUCGGCAUAUAUAUGAAGCAUUAAAUAUAUACGAAAAUAAAAACUAAUUGUAUAGUUUAUCUGUAAAUCGCGAGACGAAUCUUUUGAUCCUGUUAGUUUAUACUUGGACAAUAUUUAUCACAAACAAACCAAAAUACUAUAGUAAAAAAAUCCAAAAUCUUUUUGCAUCGGCCCGAGUCACACACUCAAAAAAAAAAGGAGACGUGUUUAUAGGAAACAUUCUAAACGAGGAGCUGCAACGGAAGACUUUAUUAACCAAUAGUAACAAUUACCUUGGUCGAGUAUUUAUUAACCUAGUUGUAACCCCAACGGUUCAGAUCCAUCCAUUUGUUCUUGUCCAUGGGCACGCACACGCAGCCGGCGCAGGACCUUCCGAGCGAUGGCGGCGGCGGCGGCGGCGGCCCGCACGUGCUUCUCGUGCCGUACCCGGCGCAGGGCCACAUGCUCCCGCUCCUCGACCUCGCGGCGCUGCUCGCCACGCGCGGCCUCGCGGUCACCGUCGCCGUGACGUCCGGCAACGCCGCGCUGCUGUCGCCGCUGGUUCGCGCGUGCUCGUCCGUGGCCGUGCUCUCGCUGCCCUUCCCGUCCUCGCCGCUGCUCCCGCCGGGAAGCGGCGAGAACACCAAGGACCUGCCGCGCCACCUCUUCCGGCCCUUCAUGGUCUCCCUCGCGGCGCUCCGCGCGCCGCUCCUCGCCUGGUGCAACGAGCAGGGACGGCACGGCCACCGCGUGACGGCCGUCAUCUCCGACUUCUUCACGGGAUGGACGCAGCCGCUCGCCAAGGAGCUGGGAGUGCCGCACGUCACCUUCUCCCCCUCCAGCGCGCUCCACCUCGCCAUGUCGCACGCCCUCUGGCGCAGCCCGCCGACGAGGAGGCGCCGCCGCGAGGACCCCGACGCCGACGACGAGGCGGUCACGUUCCCGGAGGUACCUGGCUCGCCUACCUUCCCGUGGCGCCACCUGUCGGGGCUGUUCCGGCAGUACGCGGCCGGCGACGAGUUGUCCGAGGCGAUCCGGCAGCUCUUCCUCUGGAACCUGGGCAGCUCCUGCUUCGUCGCCAACACGUUCGCGGCGCUGGAGGCGGACUACGUGACGCGGCCACUCCCGGACCUGGCGUCGAAGCGGGUGUUCGCGGUGGGCCCGCUGUCGGACGCCGCCGGCGCGGCCACGUCCACGUCGGGCGGCGACCGCGGCGGGAAGCCCGCGGUGGCGGCCGCGCUGGUGUCCGCGUGGCUGGACGCGUUCCCGGACGGCUCGGUGGUGUACGUGAGCUUCGGCACGCAGCAGGCGCUGUCGCCGGCGCAGGCGGCGUCGGUGGCGGACGCGCUGGCGCGAAGCUCGGCGGCGUUCGUGUGGGCGGCGAGGGCGGGCACGGCGGUGCCGGACGGGUUCGAGGCGGGCACGUCCUCGCGCGGGCUGGUGAUCCGCGGGUGGGCGCCGCAGGUGGAGGUGCUGCGCCACCGUGCCGUGGGCUGGUUCCUCACGCACUGCGGCUGGAACUCGGUGCUGGAGGCGGCCGCCGCCGGGGUGGCCAUGCUGGCGUGGCCGAUGAGCGCCGACCAGUUCACGGACGCGCGGCUGCUCGCGGAGGCCGGCGUGGCCGUGCCCGUGGCGGAGGGCGCCGACGCCGUGCCAGACGCCGGGACGAUGGCGGCGGCGAUCGCGGCGGCCGUCGGGAAGGAGGGGCAGACCGUGAGGGAGCGCGCGGCGGAGCUCGGACGCUUGGCGGCGGCGGCGGCGGUGGCGGAGGGCGGGAGCUCGCACAAGGACCUGGAGGAGUUUGUGCAGAUGCUGCUGACCCCGCAACUUUGAGAGACGUCCAUGUCACUCCCUCCCUCACUCGGGCUCCCCUGCGCUCCUCCUCGCCGCUGUUUCAGCCGCUGAUUGCAAGAGAAGCUGAAGCCAGCAAGACAAGACCGAGAGCGCUGCCUGGGCCGUCUCCAUUACAUUAGUUUUUCCAUUAACCACCAAAAACAUGGUUUAUUUAAGUGAGCAUAAAACCAGGAUGGAGACACCCAAUUUUCUGAAAACUCACAACAAUAGGUUUUGUGAAAAGAGAGAGUUGUUUUUUCUCAAAACUCAAUACCGGAUAAUUAACACCUACUUAUGUACCAAACAUGAUGAUCUUAACUAAUUAACAACUCCAAACUAAUUUUGCAGAAACUCAAUGUUAAACUAGUUUUAUCUAAACUGAUCUACAAACUCUUCAUCCAAACAACCACUAACGGCAUCGUUGCAAACUUGUUCAAAUAUUCAGCCACGACAUGGCCUUUGCAAGCUCUAAUAAUUCCUCCGGCUGACAAUUGCCUCCACACAUGUGCAUUAGCAUGUCAAUCUAGGUCAUUAUUUCUUGCCACUAAAGUAUUAUGCCAUGGUGUUGUUGUAAAAGGAACUUCAUUCACUGUCUUCAACUCAUGUAACCGCCGUCACAAGCAGGGCAAGCCGUCCGAGUACUACUGGCAGCCAAAGGAUGUCUCCACGUCUUCAACAUUGUAACAGGUUAGGCAGGCCCCGAGAACUUUUUAGCGUUAAACCCAUGCAACUGCUAUCUUAGGUUAGGCUCGGGCCUUUCCGAACACAUGGGCUAUCGUAGAUUGGGCUCGGGCCUUCCAAAGUACUUCAUAUGCAGUCGAGCCUCCUCACCUCAUACAGGCUGCAGAAGGUGGUUGCGUGUAGUAUGGUAAAAUACCAUCAUGUAUGCAAGGGUGUAUCAACCAGGGUAGCAAGGGGAUCAAGCCCCCCCCUAAGGGACUGAAGUCAUCCUCCCCCGUCACUCCAAACCAACACACGCCCUAAAACCCUACUUACAUACCAAUGAAGAAAGAUGAAGAUGGAGAGAAAGGAAGCAAGUAGAAAAUAUAGAGAGGAAAGGUGGAGGAGGAAUCACACAUAGAAGUCAGCAUCCUCUUGAAUUUUGGCCUAUUUUGACAUAUAGUAGUGUGAUAUUUUAUCAUUUUAUUAUGACCUACAAACUAGCCCAUAUAAGACAUAGUUAAACAAUCUCUAAGUGUUAUCAAUGUCCAGUGCGUGAGAAACAUACAGUACCCACCGAAUGUGCACGCAUGUUUAUACCCUGUUUUUCUAGAAAAAAUCUAGAAAAAGGCACAUUCACUGCUUCAUCAACUAUUAAGAGAAACUCUAAAAAAACUAUUAAGAAAAUAUAAGAUCACAUCAACCUUUGCCUCGGUGUUAGGGUGUAAAUAUGUGAUGUCAUCUCCGCACUUCAUUUGAGCCUACUGAGUUACUUAGCUAGUGAUGCAAUGCAACGUUUGGGCCUAGGCAAUCCCACGUAUAUAAGCAUAAUUAUGUAAUUCUAAAUCUAAAAAAACAUAAUUAUGUGAGCAACACGCCUAUUUUAAUUAAACUAAACGAGCGUCUACCAGCCCAUGUGCACCAUUUUUCGCUCGGCCCAAGUGCAUCCCAUUCAUCCUCUCAACCGUCCGUGGUGCUACUCCUAAAAAAAAAACGCAAGCCCACUCCAACGAGAGCUUGCACAUUUGUGUUUGACGGCCGGGCCGAGGGCUUGACAUAUACAGGCACACGAAAAGCAUAUGCAAUUGCAUUGCUCCCCACUCGCCUCGCCAGUCAAGCCUCCUGUUUUUGCUUAUAUAUACUCCUACUACAUUUGUCAUCGGAGCUAGUAACAAUAAUGUACCAAAUGACAGCUGAGCUAACAAUGUUUGGGCCCGUUCAAACUUCGAAGCUAAGUCCUGUAAAUACGGUUCAGACAGUACUGUACGGGUCAACUCUCGGGGGAAGAUUUUUUUUCUUUCAGAAGCAAUGCUUUGUGGUUCAUGUUGGGUUUUACGAUGACAGCGUUAACUAAUGCUGGUUAGAGUACUACUAUUAAUUAAGCUCUCAGCUGAACCCCUAUGUGGUAAGAGCUACUAAGCCUGAAGCUGCUGCCAUGCAUUGAUAUGCAUGCAUAUAAUCUCAUGUCCCAAGUAACAGGAGCAUCAGCAUGCCAUGGUUUCCAAAUUUGUGCAUGAUGAUGCCAGUGCAGCAGUGCCUCAUUUUGCCGAGUUUAUGGGUACCAAACAGUAUGGCACAGCGCCACCAGAAGUGGACCUUCCAACAGGAAAAAGAAAAAACAGUUCAUGAUUGACCUCCCAAGCAGCAGGCAGGCAGGCAUGUCAGCCCCAACAAUGCGAAUUUGCUGCACUCUUUCUAGCGAACACACGAUCUGAGCUUCGAGUUCUGAGACCCAAAAUGACGGAGAGCAUGCGCAUUUGAUUUCCUUUGCUCAACUGUAAGCAUUGUGGAAGAGAUCACCAUCAUUGCUGGAAUGGAAGCGAAGAGUCGAAAAAGGAGAACACAGACAGACAGAUUGCAAGAACUGCUGUGCCUGUGCCUUGCCACAAGCCGCCAAUGAACACCCAGCAAAGUCAAAAAGGCUAGAGAGAAAGUGUGGUGGCUGGUGACAAAUACCUGCCUUUGAUGCUACAAAUUGCGGGUUUCGCGUUCAGCUCGGCCACUCGGGUGCAGUGUGUAGAGGUUAAUUAGUUGCAUCCAAAGUAGGGCUAGAAAGUCUCAUAGCAUUUUUUUGGUUACUCUACUCCUAAGAAAAAAGGCUAAUGAUAACGAUGCAAAUUUGUUUAAAUAUUCAGCACAACAUGGCACUAAUAAUUCCUCCAGCUGACAAUGGCCUGCUGAGUGCCUCCACACACAUGUGCAUUAGCAUGUCUGUCUAGGUCCUCACUGCUUGCCACCCAAGCAUUACGCCAUGGUACGGUGUUGCUGUAAAAGGAGUUUCCUUCCCGUUCAAAAAAAUGUAGUAUGAUUUUUUUUGGAGAUGUAAGUAAUAUUUUGUGUAUAUAUAUUUUGAUGAAAUCAUGUAGUAAUACCCAUAGCAAUGAUGGCAAUAAUACUGGCAUAUUGGCAUGUAUGAUAUGGCAGGAUUGCCUGAACCUGAAAGAGUGAGCUGGGUGAAGGGACCCAGUGGCAGGUCAUAGUGGCCAUGCCAACCAACUCCAAUUUCAUGUCGCCGGCACAGCUUACACUGGAUCUGAUCCUCAGCAGCAGGACCCGGAGAGAAAUUAUGAAAAAAAAAAGGGCGAUUUGCAUGGACCAUGGAUGCUUGAGUUUGGAUAUAAUGUAUUCUGCUAUAAAAAGGAGAGAAGAGGCAUUUCUUGUUCGAAAAAUAAAAGAAGGAAAAAAAAAUAUGUAACUCUGUUUCUGACUUUGCAGCACUGGUUGAUAAAAAGAAAUUGGCCAAAUGACCCCGUGUGCAAACUAUGUGGAGUCGAUCCGGAAAAUCCAACGUACUUGUGCAAGGAUUGCCCUUUCACAAAACAAGUAUGGGCUGUGAUGAAAAAUUGGUUCGGAUUAUCAAAUAUUGACACGGUGGGAGAAAAUGGAUCACUCCAUGGGUACUGGCGCAGAUGCAGGCUACGGAUAGACAAACCCCAUCGAAGAAAUUUUGAUGGUCUUAUGAUCUAUUUUUGGUGGAAUAUUUGGAAAGAGAGAAACAGACGAACUUUCCAGAACAAAAGUCUGCGACCAAGAGAAGUGGCACGUUUGCAGCACUGGAGCAUAAACAUAACAAUUUCAAUUUCAGCGGUAUAACUAAUACAACUGUUUUACGGAUCCAAUAAUUUGUAGGUAGUAAGGACUUUCAAUAUCACAUCAAUAACUUGUACUAGGUAGUAAGGACUUUCAAUAAUUUUGUACUAGUAGUAGCUGCAUUACUCACAUCAAUUCAAAUUCAAAGAUAGAGAUCUGAACAAAACAAAUCUUGCAUUUCAUUGUAUGUAAUAUACAAUAAUAACAAUGGUUUGAUCUUAUAUACGUACCCCAUAUUUAGCAAUAAGCAUUCACAUAGUAGUAGCCCAAAUAUCUAGGCAUUUAUAAGCCCGGAUCAAUCAAAUAAAGACAAUGCAGGAAUUACAUGUAUAGCCUGGAAGCUGGGUCCUAAUAAUAAAAUAAAAUAAAAUAAAAUAAAAUAAAAAAGAAAAGUGAAAAAAUCGUAAAAUGUGGACCUCACGUGCUGGCCUUGCUGUUUGGUCACGUGACAGCCCUUCCUUGCUCUAGUCCUCCCGGCAAAGGCAACUCGGCAAAUCCGCCCCCCUAAUUCCGCGCCAAUCUUUAACCCCCGAUGAUAAACCUCGGAGGCCGGAGGAAUUGACUAUUUCCACUCAGAUCCCCGAAGAACACCACAAGUCGAUGCACACCCCCUUCCGUUUCCGUGGAGCAGCUCUGAGCUGGAAACUUUCCAAUUGGGCCUCUAAAACAAUCUAACCGUGAAGUUGAAGCCCCUCCUCAGUCCACCCUCCCCGGCCGGAGAAGACCCUGAUGCGGCUGCGGCUGCGGCCGGAGGCCUGAGUUUUGGUUGGAUAUGGGUGGAGUGACUUCGUCCGUGGCCUCCAAGAUGGCGUUCUUCCCUCCCGACCCGCCGUCUUACGGCGUGGCCAACGAGGAGGACGAGCCAGCGGCGGCGUCGGUGGAGGAUGCGUCGUCGCGUAAGGUGGCAACCAGGAGGGUGGUGAUGACGGGCGUGCGGUGGAGCGUGGGCGUGGAGGCGAGGCGGGUGCGGACGCGGCGGGGCUCGGAGAUCAUCGCCGUGUACGUCCGGCACCCCGGCGCCAGCCUCACCGUCCUCUUCUCCCACGGCAACGCCGCCGACCUCGGCAAGAUGUACGGGAUCUUCGUCGAGCUCAGCGCACGACUCCACGUCAACCUCAUGGGGUAAGUGAUGAUUGACUGGUUUCUCCGAUGCUUUUGACUUGGUUGGGCGACCAAGAUUACUGCUUUAUUAUUAGUUAUACUGGCCGAUGGAUGAUGAUCUUGUGAAAACUGAUCGGAACACAAUUUUCGUUUUCGUUUUUGAAAGAACGAACUUUUUUUUUUCUCUAGAAGGCAACAACCCACAAUCUGAUCGGAUCAUGGUUUGAUCCUUUAGAAUGGGCGUGUCUUGAUCACUUGUUUUCCUUCUGUUUGGUUCUGUCGUUUUCAGUAUUAUUAUUAAUUAAUGGUUUUCUGUCUGUGUGGUGGAUUGAAUAUGAUGAAUAUAGUGAUCAUACAUGUCCAACUACUGUUAUUGAGCGGGGUAAUCAUAUGCUGCAUGCUACUUCGAUUUGCAUUAAUUGUUUUCAUUAGCUUAUAGUAUUUUCUGAAUGAUGGGAGUUUGAUUUCUUGUUAAAGAUUUAUCAUGUGCAAUUGAUACUCCUGAUUCUUUUGGGAAGAUCAGAUUUUAAUUUCCUCUGAUUGAUGAGAGAGCUGCACACGUUAUUUGGCUAUAGGAUUUAGUUUGCCAUUAUAGGUGCAACUGAUGUAAAAUUCGCCGCUGCUGCUGCUGCUACUGUUCCAGAAAAUUAUGGUUUUUUUUUUCGUUCUACAAUCCAUUUAUUGCCAAUCCUGAACCUGUAAAAUAUUAUGUUUGGGAAAUCUUUUUGUCUUUUGUCUCCAUUCGAGGUGAAGAUGUUAUUGACACUUUUCUUGGUAGGUUAGGAUAGUUCUAUACUCUAGUCAAGCUAAUUCUGCAUUCGGAACCUGUUUGUUUGGCUGGUGCUUGCAAAAGUAGCUCAGUUCUGUGACCAUCUUUUCUUGAGAGUGGCAAAUAAAGGUCUCAAUACGCUUUUUUGUGGUUGUUUAAUUUUUACUAGGCACUGUACAUAGAAAGCUAAUCAUUGGACAACAGUCACAGAGCAGAGCUCUAAAGUUUGCUUGAUAUCAUUGCUUGAAGGUAUUUUCAACUUGUUUAUGUGGGUCACUCUCACUCAUGGCAACAGCAUUUUGACCUUUCAUUGGACUUGCUUUUCCCUGCUGGAGCAGUAUAUUAAAUUCGAGUUUCGCACAUCAUGUUUUAAAUUUAUUUGCUACUUAACUAUUUGGCUACACAAUGACACCUCAAGUAUACACAGUAAAGCAACCCCGUCCACAUGCCCCCGAUAUUAUCCUGCCAUAAAAUCCUUCGCUCGAUCAAGGGAUCAAACUCGACUGUUGGAUUGGAUUCGUAGCAAACUAGCAAACAAACCCAGACAUAACAGAACAGCUAAUUGGAUGUUACAUCAAUGAUGCAGAUAUGCUGCAUGAAUGAACCACACGAUGGCCCAGAACACGCAAGGGUGCUCAUUACAGCACAUACUAUUAGGUGAAACUAGUCUUACAAGUACAGUUAAGUACAAUGCACUAACUGGGUGCACGUCUACACUACCUGUUAAGUACGAUUAAGAGGGCAAGAGGGAUUUUCAGACAAGAGGGUGGGGUUAGAUGCAGGAGUCUGAAGAAAAGGAGGGAACAAUGAUGUGGUCCAGGGGUUAGUUUGCCCAUCAAAGUGAGACAAAGAGACAAAGAGAGUGAUGUGUAGGAGCUGUCAACAAACAUGUAUAGAUAGAUUUAAAAUAUAUAGUCAUCAAACGAUUUUUUUAUAAAGAUGGUUAAAAGAUAAAAAGUUCUAUGAAUACAAUUUUAUUUUGGUUUCCAAUCAUGCAUGAGCUGAAAUCAGCAAAUCACACUGAUAAUUAACUCGAAAUACAUGCUACUUUCAGAUUUUCUAAAACCCCAAUUGACAAUGUCCAAGACACCUGAUGUUGCAUCUUGUAUAUCAACUAUUAGUAUCCUUAUGACAGACAAAGUCUCUUGACAAAGUUCAAGAGAGCUUAUGUGCAAACUGUAUCAACUGUUAAUGUUAUGUUGCAGUAUGAUCAUAAAAUUUAUUCAGAUUUCAUUUUGAUCGCGGACAAACAUUCAAUUUUUUUUGCAAUAUUUUACUAGUGCAUUACUAUUAGUGUGUGUGUGUGUGUGUUUGAUCUGGACAUUUUCAUUGACGUGAAGAUGUUGGUCAGGCUAUCUGGUUUAUUCGUUCUUGUUGAACCAUGUAAAUAGUUAUUGGUUCUUGCAAGUCUAUGUCCUUCUUGAAGGUUUAGCAAAUUAUCUGCUAUGCUGUUCUGAUGAUCGAAGUUGCCUGUCUCAGAAUAAUUGCAUCAUUCUUUGCAGGUAUGAUUACUCUGGUUAUGGGCGGUCAUCAGGCAAGGUAAUUUAUGUCCGUCCUUUUUUGAAACUAAUGCUCUUACCAUGUCACCUUCAGUCGAGGGGCACCUUGGCCUUUCUUGUUACAAUAGAGGCCUUGAAACUGAUUCUUGUUUUAAUCUGAACUAGUUCAUUUUGUAGAAGUUAGAUCCUUUCUAGGAAAAACAGUGCUGCGUGCUGACACAACCUUUCUGUAAAAUCCAUCUUCAGCCAAGUGAAGCUAAUACCUUUGCUGACAUAGAGGCUGCAUACAAGUGCCUUGUGGACGUUUAUGGAACUAGGGAAGAAGACAUUGUUCUGUAUGGUCAGUCUGUUGGCAGCGGACCAACCCUCGAUUUAGCUGUUCGUUUCCAUCGCGUAAGAGCUGUGGUUCUGCACAGUCCAAUCCUGUCUGGAUUGCGUGUCAUGUAUUCUGUGAAGAAAACAUACUGGUUUGACAUAUACAAGGUUUGCCUCUCUGUCUGAAGUAUCAAGAUGAACGAUUUACAUCCUGUAAUAUGCUAACACUUGUUUCAUUUGCAGAACAUCGACAAAAUCCCGCAUGUUAAAUGCCCAGUUCUGGUUAUCCAUGUAAGCUCUUUAUACACAUCUACUAGGUGGUAGUAUUCUUCUACUAGCUUCAUCAGAUCAUUAAUAAACUGGAUCAUUAUUUUCAAUUUUCAGGGCACAAAAGAUGACGUCGUGGACUGCUCCCAUGGGAAGCGGCUCUAUGAGCUGUGCCAACACAAGUAUGAGCCUCUGUGGAUCGAGGGAGGCGACCAUGGCAACCUGGAGAAAUUCCCGGUGUACAUACGACAUCUGAAGAAGUUUUUAUCGACCAUAAAGAAGCUGCCAUCUGAAAAAGAUGCCGCAGCUGAGCAUGAGACAUGGGCAGCUGAAAACAGAGCGCAGCCUGACAGUGAAACCAUCUCCGAGACUCCUUCUCGCAUGAUCUCGCGAAGGCUAGAGCCGUCGAAGAAGAGCACGAUCCAUGAGGACCCUACGCUGAGCACGGAGCAUGUAGAUAAGCGCAGGCGAAGCACGGGCCACAGGGAGAAGGCGAGGUCCAGCACAGAUAGGAGAUCCAGGAGGAGCGUGGACUGCUUCGACAGCAUCCUCGAACAUGAGCAACAGGAAAAGCCAAGGAAAAGCUUUGAUAGGUUAGUUCUGCCUCAGCUAUAUAUCUUGUUUAUUUGAUUUGAUUUGAAGAAAUAUAGUUUGGAAAAUGUGAUGAUACGAAUGUUUUUGUUUGUAUCUUUGUCGUUAUUCUUGUGCAGGAUCGGAGAGAAGAUUAGAGCCAUGGGUCUGUGCAAUGUCGACUGCUUCAAAGAGCCUCCAGACAGCGCUGAGCUCAGCCGAGGUCGAUGAAUGGAGUGUUGCUGUCAGUACGUGUCAGUAUUUUUCCCUUGUUGCUUAGAUAUAAAAGAAGACUCUGCGUGAUGGGAAUGUUAAUCAUAAGAUGCUCACGAACAGUAAAGAGAAAUAUAGCACGAUCGAUCUUUAUGUCAGCGUCUGAUUCUUUCACACUUGUGUAUACGUUACGUUGCUUGAAGACUUGUAAACACACACACUACACAGCGCUGUGAUGUGUCCGGAUAGAGACUGCUCGGUCUGUUAUCAGCAAGAAAAGAUACUCCUUCCAAAAAUAUCUCCUUUUGCCAAGAAUCAAACCUACAAAUAGAAAAUAGCAUGCACAUUUGUACAACUGAAUAAAUAAAUUUAUUAUAAAAAGUAUAUUCCACGAAUAAUCCAAUUAUACUUAUUAUUAUGCAUCAUAGAUAUUAGUAAUAUUUUUUAUGUUUAUUAGUUAAGCUUAAAAAUAUUUUAAUUUUUUUAGAAGUGAGGCCCAUUUUUUUCUUCUUUUGGACGGGGAGUAGCCUCUAACACAGAGGUGGUGAUUUCAUCACGUCACAUUUCGAUAAAUGGGCCUAUGAAAGCAGAAGAAAGAGGCCUGUUUGGGCCUACGAAUGAAAGCAGAAAAAAGAGGAGAGGCCCGGCUCACAGUCACAGUGGCAGUGUCCGGGUGCUUCCAGAAGCUCCUCCGGCCGCGCCUCAUCUCAUCUCAUCUCCUUCCUCCUUGUGUUGAACCCGCCGGCCUCGCACAGCUCUUACUACAAAAACCCUAACACCCCUCCCUUAUCCUCUGCUCCCUCUCCCCCUCCCCCUCCCCACGAACGUUGGCGUGCCCCCGGUCACUGUCUCCCAUCCCAUGGCGCCGGCUUUGAGCGGGACUCUGGGCGCGUCGUCGGUGGCGGCGCUACGGCCCUGCGCGGGAAGGAGGGCGCCCUCCGCCGCGACCUCGGUUGCUCCGCGGGGGAGUGGGGUGGCGAGGUGCGCCAGAGGUCUCAGGUGGGAGGCCCACAGGAGCAGGGGGAGGUCGCUCAGGGUGAGGUGCGAUGCGGCCGUCGCCGAAAAGCCCGCCGGGGAGGAGGCGGCUGGGGAGCAGUUCGAGUACCAGGCGGAGGUGAGACUUGACGAAAUUUUUAAUUGGCGUCCAUCCGUACACCUUGAGUUUUUUUUUUCCGGAAUUGAUGUGAUAAGGUUACCUGUAAUUCGCUAGAAAUGUUGCCAAAUCUGUAUGUCCGAGUUUGAUUGUGUGUUCCAUUUGUGUGCCACCCACUGGUUACUGAAACAUGUAUAUUUCUAUCUAUUCUAUGUACCUUGUAGGUGAGCCGGUUAAUGGAUUUGAUCGUCCAUAGUCUGUACAGUCAUAAGGAGGUAUUUCUCCGCGAGCUUGUUAGGUCAGUACCUUUAGCUGGAAUCUGGCAAUCUAUGGUAAUUCAUUUGAGGGCAUUAUUCGUGGAUGGUACUUACCUGCUGCUCUACCAGCAACGCGAGUGAUGCAUUGGAUAAACUGAGGUUCCUUGGCGUGACUGAUUCUUCUUUGCUUGCUGACGGUGGUGAGCUGGAAAUAAGGAUUAAGCCUGACCCUGAUGCUGGGACGAUUACUAUCACGUAAGUUCCAGUCUCUGACAGAACUACUUGGUGUUCUGUGAACAGACUCUAAUGUCAUGAUUUUCUGGUGGUUUGUUUCAACAGUGACACUGGUGUUGGUAUGACUAAAGAUGAGCUCAAGGACUGCCUUGGUACCAUUGCUCAGAGUGGCACCUCAAAAUUUCUGAAGGCCCUCAAGGUGCAGCACCAUACCUUCCUUGACAAUUGUGAAUACAUCUAUGAGUAUGGGAUAUGGUUAUGCCCUAAAUGCUGUACUAGUGUCUAUGCGAUUGUUGCAUUGCCUUUUUCCCUAACGUGAAAAUGCAUUGCUCUUCAGGAAAACAAAGACCUUGGGGCGGACAAUGGUCUAAUUGGUCAGUUUGGUGUUGGGUUUUACUCAGCUUUUCUUGUUGCAGAGAAGGUUUGAGAUAUUUCUUGGAUGCUUUUUUUCUUAAAUAAUUUUACAUGGAAUGAGCUUUUACUCGUUUUGCACUGGCUUAGAUUGUUAUUUAAGUUGACAUUUUUUUAAAAUCCACAUUGCAGAUUGUGGUGUCCACCAAGAGUCCAAAAUCAGAUAAACAGUAUGUGUGGGAAGCUGUCGCUGACAGUAGCUCUUAUAUCAUCAAGGAAGAGACUGAUCCUGAGAAAAUGCUUACACGUGGAACUCAGAUUACUCUGUUUCUAAGGGUAUGUUGAUAUGUUCUUCUGAUAUGCCAUGAAAUGCUUUUUCUUUAAUAGCAACCUUACAUUAAUAUGUCUUCUAUAGUCUGAUGAUAAGUACGAGUUUGCGGACCCUUCAAGGAUUCAAGGCUUAGUAAAAAACUACUCUCAGUUUGUGUCUUUCCCCAUAUACACAUGGCAGGAGAAAUCAAGAACUGUUGAGGUACGGUCUUGACAAAGCUUCUUGCUUAUUCUCUUGACCAGAUCUGUUCUUUUGAUCUAUGAAUGGAUGUGUAUGGUCUUUUCAUUUUUCAUUUAUUUCACUGAUGUAGUCCACCCUUGAUUGACAGGUUGAAGAGGACGAAGAGCCGAAAGAAGGUGAAGAGGCAACAGAGGUUAGUUUUUCUGAAUGGACUCCUAGUUUUCCUUGAUGUUUGUAGAAUCUUGCUUCUUUUGUAACUGAUUAGGCAUACUUUGACAUAUAGGGUGAGAAAAAGAAAAAGAAGAAGACUGUUACUGAGAAAUAUUGGGACUGGGAACUAGCCAAUGAAACAAAACCCAUAUGGGUAAGUCUGGAGUUACUAUUGCCUGUUUGUUUCAUACUUAGAACAGCACCCUUCUGGUAAUUCUGAUCACUCUGGUCUCCAAGGGAGUAAGAGCUAAUGAAGAAAACAGACAGUUGAUUUCUAUUCUCUCCAUGCAGAUGAGAAAUCCAAAGGAAAUUGAGAACACCGAAUACAAUGAGUUCUAUAAGAAGACAUUCAAUGAGUUUUUGGACCCCCUUGCCCACACUCACUUCACAACAGAGGUGUGAAUUCAUUAAACAACUCUGUGAAACACUUAAAUUCACACACACAUUGUAUAUAUAUUCAAUAACUGAUCUAUUCUAUUAACAGGGUGAGGUGGAAUUCAGGAGUGUUCUUUAUGUUCCAGGCAUGGCACCGCUUAGUAAUGAGGAGAUAAUGAAUCCCAAGACCAAAAAUAUCCGGCUAUAUGUUAAAAGAGUCUUCAUCUCUGAUGACUUUGAUGGUGAACUGGUACACUAUCUUUCAAUGCUAAUAAAUUCUACUAUCCAUCGAUUGAGAUGGAAUGAAUUAUUGAUUUUAGCAUGCAUCUUGCAGUUUCCAAGAUACUUGAGCUUUGUUAAAGGUGUGGUGGAUUCAAAUGACCUUCCCCUCAAUGUUUCUCGGGAGAUUCUUCAAGAAAGUCGAAUUGUAAGUAAUGGGUGAAAGUGAAACACCUGCCAGUUUUUCCUCUCCCCCUUUGAAAUUGUAUAUUUUGAAGGUUCUUACUGUCGAUAUAUUUAGAGACAAUCUUAUGUAUUUUUGUUCAGGUAAGAAUUAUGCGCAAGCGACUUGUCAGGAAGACAUUUGAUAUGAUUGAAGAGAUUGCCGAAAAGGAAGAUAAGGAGGUACAAUUGGACCUUUAGGCCCUGUUUGGUUCCACCAACUAAAUUUUAGCUAGCUAAAAUUAUUUUAGCUACUCUUAGGUGACUAAUGGAACUAAACUAUUUUAGCUCCUUUUAGUCAAUGUGUUUGGAACUUUAGCUACUAAAGUGACUAAAAUUUAGCUAGCUAAAAUUUAGUUGGUGGAACCAAACAGGACCUUAGUUUGAUCCUAGUUAUUUUGUUUACUUGAUAUUGAUUUUCCUUAAUUUGUUCUGUAGGAUUAUAAGAAGUUUUGGGAGAGCUUUGGCAAGUUUAUUAAGCUUGGUUGCAUUGAGGACACAGGGAAUCACAAGCGCCUUGCUCCAUUGUUGCGCUUCCACUCUUCUAAAAAUGAGGGAGACACGAUAAGUCUUGAUCAAUAUGUAGAGAGCAUGCCUGAAAGUCAAAAGGCAAUCUACUACAUCGCUACAGAUAGUCUCCAGAGCGCAAAGACUGCUCCUUUCUUGGAAAAGCUGGUCCAGAAAGAUAUUGAAGUAUGUACUUGACAUAGACACAAUUGACUAUGGGAGAGACAUGUUCUUUCUUUUUUCAUGCUUUGGCUCAGGGUACUGCUUGAUUUUUAUCUAGGUUCUCUACCUUAUUGAGCCAAUAGAUGAGGUUGCCAUUCAGAACUUGCAGACCUACAAAGAGAAGAAAUUUGUGGAUAUCAGCAAAGAGGAUUUGGAAUUGGGUGAGAAAAUGCUUAUGCUUGCUCAGAGUGGUUAUGACUGUUUGAUUACUUCCAUCGCAUUGAAUAGAAGAUACCUUUAUUUAUUGUCGCAGGUGAUGAAGAGGAAGAGACUAAAGAAACCAAGCAGGAGUUUACUCUCCUAUGUGAUUGGGUUAAACAACAGCUUGGUGACAAGGUUGCGAAGGUCCAAAUAUCGAAGCGUUUAAGUUCAUCUCCAUGUGUUCUUGUAUCUGGCAAGUUCGGUUGGUCCGCUAAUAUGGAAAGGUAGGUUUGUUGUUAAGCCAUUGCUUUUAGUCAUUAUCUGUGUCUUCAUAUGUAUUUCUCAAAAUCUGACAGGCUCAUGAAGGCUCAAACACUUGGUGACACAUCAAGCUUGGAAUUCAUGAGGGGAAGAAGGAUUUUCGAAAUCAACCCUGACCACCCAAUUAUCAAGGAUUUGAGUGUAAGACCAUUACCCCUGGGGAAUCAGUUAUCAAGCUCACCAACAAUUAACAUGCUUGAGCUAUAUGAAGUAACUAAUCUGAAAGAGAAAUUAUUGUUGGCAGGCUGCUUGCAAAAAUGAGCCCGAUAGCACAGAAGCCAAGAGGGCUGUUGAGCUCCUAUAUGAGGCUGCUUUAAUCUCAAGUGGAUAUACUGUAAGUAUAAUGGAAUACGUUUCUGGAUAUUGAUGGUCUUGGUGAAAAAACAUUAUUAAAAUGUUGGAAUGUUUGUCAUAAUUUCCAGCCAGAGAGUCCAGCAGAGUUGGGUGGCAAGAUCUAUGAGAUGAUGGCGAUUGCCCUCGGUGGGAGAUGGGGAAGGUCCGACAUGGAGGAGACUGAGACAUCAAUGAGUGAGGCCAGCGCAGAGUCAGACUCAUCUGAAGGCACCGUAACAGAGGUGAUUGAGCCCUCAGAAGUUAGACCCGAGAGCGACCCAUGGAGGGAUUAGUGAGUUCUCCCACGGCUAGGCUUUGUUAGAACUUCAUAUUUAGCAGUUCCGGGGGUAAAAUUAAGGCCAUGGGCUAGAACAUUAUUUGGUUACAGAUACUUCUAUACGGGUUCCUGCCGUGGCAUUUUUUGUAGGUGUAGACUUGCUGGCCACUAACAUUUUAUUGAGGUAGUAGUGGCCUUAGAAAACAAUAAAGCAUGAAGACUGAUUACAUAGCAAAAUUGUGCUGCCCCUCAAUAAUAAUGAAAAAGAAGUUUCUGCACUGCUGUUUUCACAUUCCUCCAAUCGUUUCCUUUCGUUCUUACUGCAAAGCAGCUGCUUUGUCCGAGUGGUCAGCAGGGUAGAAUACCAAAUUGAAAAUGACCCAUUUCUACGAGAUUCUGUUUAUUGAAGCCAAUAUGAUAUUCUUUUUCCUCCGAUGCGCUGGGUAGGGAAAAGCCAAGAAGGCUCCAGACAGACACGGUAGAUAAUGAGAGAGUAAACAAGGACCGUAAACUGAGAAUCGAACGGUUAAAUUUUUUUUUUUUUGCUGUCGUGGCCUACCUGGCUGCUCGGCUUCGCGUUUCGAAUUAAAGAGGUGAAUGUUGCAUUAAAUAUCUUAUUAAUGAACAGUAAAACAGACAGGAGCAGAACGCCUCAGCAAGUUGAAUGGUACAGUCAAUAGACAGCAAAAUGUUACGAUCAGAGAGCAUUCAAAAUCAUCAAUACUCGCACAACAAACUGAUCUAAAAAGGUAUCCAUGAAAUAGCAAAGCCUACAAUGAAAAUAAUGAUGAGAAAUCUACAAAGAUGAGCUGUGGUGAAAAAAACGGAAUAACAAGAAGUAAAAAAAGAACCGAGUAAAAGCUGAGAGUUUAAUCUGAACAUAUAUAUGUUUUUAGUGCUGCUCGCUAACUAGCUAUAUAUUAACUAACAACACAAACAAAUACGCUGUGCAGCAACCUGUGUCUAACUGUCUAUUUUCAGGUGUUUCUCUUCAGGAACACAAAUUCACUUCACACUCCACCCAUUCCAACAUCAUCAUAAAUUCAUAGCUGCAGCAGAUCCCUACUUCCGGCGAUGAACUUUCAGUUCUGAUUACAACCAUGAAGCAAUGGUAACCUUUCAUGGAGGAAUCAAGCUUGUCCUGCCUCUGCACUAUGCAGUAACUUCACGUCUGGCACAAAUGCUAGUUAUGUGCCUUGGCCCUCUCUACUCUCUACUCCACGGCACAUGUCAGGUGACCAGAAAGCAAUUCUGAUCCUCCAUGGAGGUGGACUGCUAGAGCUUGUGCGGAACUUCACAUAUGAAACCGAUCCUGAUCAGACCUCAUGCCCAGAUGCUCUGGACCGACAGUCGCCCCGUAAACCGCUGUUUGCGCUGCAUUGUGGUGGAACGAUCCAUCCAAGGUGAGAGGCAUCUGCUGGAGAGGCUAAAGUUUGGUUAGGAUUCUUGAAAACCAACCUGAUUGCAAAUGCAUAAUUGCUCUAAAUUUCUAAUCUGAAACACCUGCAAUAAGACCUUAAUCCAUCUCUCAAAUAGUGCACAGCUAGUAGGUAAGUAGAAAUGCUGGGAUUCUGCUAUGCAGACCUGAGACUGAGAGACAUGAUCUGCGAUGGAGUCUUUGCCGUUUAGUUGCUCCUCCAUGGCUGUUCUGAACCCAUCUGAAUUGGCCAAGCCAUGAACGCCUCCUGGGAGCACACCCGACCGUGACAUUGGUGGUAGUAUGGGCAUCAUUUCGUGGGAGAACGAGAAUCCCAGGUGAGCAGAUGAGCUUGAAGGACCACUGGGGGCGCGAAAAAGCUGCAUUCCACCAAAUUUUGGCGCACAUUUCUUACAAAACUAAAAUGAAAAGAGAACAAGGAAGAACUGCAGGUGAGUUAGUAGAUUGCUUACAUCUUUCGACAGAAGCUGUUUUAUGUUGAGGCCGAGCUGUGGAUUGACCGCAGCAAGCUUCAUGGAUAAGAACUGCGAGAUGCAAGAAGGGGAAUCAUGCAUUUGGUCAGUACAUUGCCUUUAUCAGAUGAGAAAGAGAAACUCUCAGUAUGAGGAUUGAAGAUGAACCAUGCAUACCUCCACUUGCCUUUGCAGGGACUGGACAUAAUUGAUGAUCUCGUCCAGCAUCACCGCCUUCCCAGUUACCUAAAUCAAUCCAAACCCAACCCGGCCCAAAGAAAACGUGUCAUUAUUCUUAAGAAGAAGUUCUGAUUUCAGAAAAGUAAGUAGAGCUGUUCUUUCGGCCAAGAGGCUCACUUUAGUGCAACCAGGAACAAGGUCUUGCAGAAGCUUCAUCCUCUCACUGAUCUUCUCCCUUCUCAGCUAUCAGAAAAGAACCGAAUUUCAUGUUCAUCAUUCUUCAGGACUAUUUUCAAGUGCUAAAGCUAAUCCAUUGAGGUGACCAGUUGCUUGCACGUUCCAAGAACACCAAAUGUAUUUGCAACAAAUUAAAUCUGUGUGUACUGUACCUACCCUCUCUGCGAGGCUAUGCCUGUUGGUUGCCUGCCCCUUCCGGGCCCUGACAUGGAUGUACGACUCCGACUCGCCGUCGGCGGCCGAAGCUCCCUUCCCUUUCUUCUUGCGCGUCGCCGGCGGCGUCUCCUCCUUGCCUUUGGCGUCGUCCUCGCCACGCUCCUUGGAAGAAUCCACGGACGGCAUCCCUUGAUCUUGAUCCGUCCCAAUCAUCCCAAGAACGUCCUGCGACUGCGAUCCGACCACAACGCUGAGACACCGGCCAGUGUGCAAACCAAUUAGCACUGUAGUAGUAGUAGUGAGCAGUAAGCAACUAGUACCUCGUUCGAUCGCUUCCUUUUGUUGGAGUUGGAGUCCGGCUCCGGUACCCUGGACGAGCAGGCCUCGGCGCUCGGCGCGUCGCCGCCGCCGCCAAACCCCGGCUCGCCGUUGCCACUGCCGGUGGUGGCUUGCAGUGGGUGUUCCUCGGAGGUGAUGUACGAGGAGCGCAUGGCCAGCUGGACUAGGCCGGGGUCCAUGAAGUGCUCGAGAGCGGCCGGUGACGGGAGCUGGAGCCCGAGCAUCGGCGGCGGCAAGAGUCCCCCGCUUCUCCCGUCGGAGACGACGGCGCUGCCGCCGGCUAGCCCCGCAGCCUGAGACACCGACGCCCAUGCAAAUGAAUCCAUGGAGAGAGAGAGAGAGAGAGAGAGAGAGAGAGAGAGAGAGAUCAAAUGGGUGUUCUUGAAUGAGUAAUUUAUGGAGCUCUUCAGUAUUGACCUCUCAGGGAGCUCUUUACUCUGUGCUUUAACCUUUGCUUUUGCUUGCUUAGCUCGGUUUGGCAAUUGACACUGCAUUAUCUUGCCAAAAACAUUUUUAUUUCGCUUCUCGAGUGUUUCAGACGUCUGAUUUGUUUGUUGUUGUUAAUCAGGUACUCCUAGCAUGUAAUUUUAUUAUUACCUGUUUAUAGAAAAAAAAUCAUAAAUUAUAUUAUGAGUUGUAUUUUUAAUUAUAUUAGCUAAUUGUGUAGAAUUGUUGCCUGAAAAUUUACACACCUGAAAUAUAACAACUCUCUUUUUCUUUUUCUUUUUUUCUAAGUAGUUUCCUCAAGUUUUCGAUGUGGUACCAAGGCGAUUAGAGUCACCACGUUCGUUUGAAAAAAAAAAACAGAAUUAGCAUUGUUUUGGGGGUAACCGAACCUGCUUUCUUGAAAUCAACAAAGACGUAGUACUAGCUAAACUGCUCCGUGACAACUACUUGUUGCUUCUUCCAAGUUCCAUCUAAUCUGACUGACAUCUGACGCUACCAAAUCUCACGGCCUCCUGACUGACACUCUGACAGUGCCGACCACCACCCCUGACGUUGUUUAAUCUGCCUGCCUGUAAUUGUACUUAAAAACUGUGAGUGUCCCUUGCCCUAUCAUCAUUAGUUGACUGCUAAUAUAGUGCCAAUGCUACUUGGAGGCAAGUGUUGCUGUAAACUGCAUUUCCAUUCAAUGGCAGGGAAUUUUCUUUCUAAGGUUGUGUUGUGUUGAAUCGAGGCUCAGAUCAAGCGAAAUUUUCUUCUGAAGAACAUAAAUAAGUAGGUUCUCCUGAAUUUCCUCAUUUUCUACGUAGUAGCUACAAUCUCAAAAGAACGAUAGAAAAAAAAAGUUACUGUUCCUUGAUGUAGAAUUUCCAAUGCAAUACAGAGCCUACUGACUGACUGAGAUGCCCUUAUUAUUAUUCUGACUCUCUUAGCCUCUCUAGUCUCCAACUACUUAAACUAAACUAUCAUUAGCCUCGGGGUUCGCGACUGCCCCGAAUCUAAUCUUUUGAUUACUCCUACUGUCUAAAGCAAACCUUACGUAGACACUUUGAUCCUCCGGUAACUUCCUGCUGUUACUGUUUACAUCCUCCUUUCGGAUGCAUGCGUAGUAGUAGUACUAAAAUAAAAUAAAAUUCACCGUGGCCCGUGGGAGAGCCAAGCAAGAAGGCAAGGAGUGACUUGCAAGCUACUGCUGCUGUUCUAGCACAGCACAGAUGAAGAUGGAUGAUGGGCUUCUCUUCUUUUGAACGGGAGCACCGCGCCUUUCGGUUGCUCGCCCUUUUGCCUUUGCGCACUGUGGGCUUGCAUUGCAUUGCAUUGCAAAGUAACCUAGCAUGUUUCCGACACCAAAGAAACUGAAUGCAUGCCGGCCGGCCUUGCAUUGCAAAGUAACCUAGCCAAAGCCAAGGAAUGAAAAGCUUUGCGAGAACAUGAGGUAACCAAGGCUGAGCGUGUUGCUUCAAGCUCCUCGAACAGUCAGAUCAGUAACAUGCAUGGCCAAUCUGUGUAAGCUAUCUACUUCAUGAGUGGUGAACAUGUCAUUGGGAAGCUUGCCAACACAAGGGCAGAUUAAGAAUGUUUCAGUCUUUGGAGAGAAAACAGGGGGCUUGCAUUGCAUACGUUGAGUGAACUGUGGACAAAAGGGAGUUGUUUUGUGCUUUUGUGCAAACUGCAAAGCCAACUGCAACUGAUGUUCAUCAGAUCAUAGCUGAUGUCAGAUGGGAAGGAACAGAACGGUGUCAGCUUUCGUCGUCAGACGUGUGGUGGUGGCAGAAAGGAGAUGCAAACAUGAAACCGGGUGUGCAUGCUACGCAUAGCUCAUGAUUGAAAUAUACUCGGAGAAGAAGAGGAAGAUUGUUGUUCAUUUCCGAGAAGGAAUGGUUACCGAGACACAAAGAACAGAGGGCGGCUUAAUGGGGUCAUUACCGAGACUAAUUGAUUGACUGAACGUCGAAUGAUUAGUCAAGCAGGUUCGCAGGGGUCCAAGAGAAUCGGAUCUCGCCUGACUUGCAGGGCCGUUUAAUUUGGAGUUGGAGCAGCGGUUUGUUGAGACGCGUGGAAGUGGAAUGGAUCGGAGGAUGGAUAGCAACGUACGAAGAACAAUGCAUUCACAAGCUGUUUUGUAAAUAGCAUUCCCUCCAUUCCAAACUAUAAAUCGUUAUGACUUUCCCAGCAGCCCUCUCUCAUGGCUUCAGGACUUGUGCAGUGACUGACAAUGGUGACGGAAACAGUUCCAUUUCGGCCGUGUUUAGUUCACCCAAAAAACCAAAAAGUUUUCAACACAUCGAAUCUUUCGGUACAUGCAUGAAGCAUUAAAUAUAGACGAAAAUAAAAACUAAUUACACAGUUUAACUGUAAAUCGCAAGAGAAUCUUUUGAUCCUAGUUAGUCCAUGAUUGGACAAUAUUUGCCACAAACAAACGAAAGUACUACAGUGGCGAAAUCCAAAAUCUUUUUGCAUCUAAACAAGGCCAGUUUUCACUCUCACAUGGGAACAGUUAGAACUUGAACCCCAGUUUUUUCCCCCAAAAAAAUAAAAAAAAUAACUUCAACUCUCUUCCAGAGGAAAGGCACGCAGUAUUGGAAACUUGCAAGUGCAUCAAAGGUGCCGGUUCCUCGUUUACAUUACAUGGAAGCUCCCUAUGGCUGGAACUGGAAGGCCUGGAACUGGAGCUCAACCAGUCCAGGUCAUGUCUUUGCAAUGCGUGAUCGCCAUAUUAAUCUUGCAGCAAGAGUCAGAGCAAUAUAUAUACUGUGUACUCAUAGUAGAGUAAAAGAAUCAGAGCAGCUCCUGCAGAACUGAACUCUGUUUGUGUUCAUUGCAUUUGCACAGAUGAAACAGCAAUAUGGGACCUGGGCUGGGCAGCUGGACGAAGAACUCAACUGGGCCCUUGCUAAGUACGGGAUCGGAAGCCCACUGGCCUUCGUAUAGCUGCUGGUGUGUGGUGUCGCUCCCGCGGGUGCGAGUGGGCUCUGCAACUCAGGCCCAACGAGGGUACCCUUCUUAUUUUGACGCCAACUGUUAUCAUUGAGAGUUUUAAUCGAGUUCCAUCCGUAUUUUAUAGGUUGUCAUAUACGGAGUAGGUAUUUUCAUGGCAUGAUGACAAUAUUUUUUUAAAAAAAAAUAUAUAUUUUUAUGAAGAUGAAACUAUUUUUUCUCGAUUUGCCAACUUUGGGUGAAUAAUGAAAUUAAAAAAUCUCAUAAAACAGUACUAGGAUGAAACUAUGCAUUAAGAAUAGUUAUGUCAUCCCAUAUUUCAUUGCUAUUAUGCUUAACGUGGUAUUUUUAGAAACAGCACUAGAAAACUCUUCACUGGACUCCGCGACCAUGCCACAUUGACUUCAAAACGUCACAGGAUCUGAGUGCUUCCUCGUACAAGAAACCUAAUAUAACGAUUCUCUCAUGACACACUAGUGAUUGGUGAAGCGUCCCUCUCCCCAUCCAGCUCAUCCACUGAGAAUUAAAUAAGCUUCAUUAAGGGCUAAGCUCGGUGAGAGCUCAAGUCCAACAAAUUUCAGAUUGUAGGCCACACUCACACCCCUCCUCAUCCAUCAAUGUCAACAGUGGCGGAUUCAUUCUUUUCCUAAUGCCCACGGCCGGGUGGUGUGGUACGAGACAAGCCAUCACCAAGGGGAUUAGUACAACGAGUAAAAAUUCAAAGGCCUGCACGUGCUGGUUGUUUUUUAAUGUCAGCAUUUUUUUUGAUAAAAAAAAUGUCAGCAAAUUCAGCUUAUCUCCAGAAGCUUUAGGGGCAGUUUAGUAUAUUGUGCCAUAAGGGAAGUGCAUCUCCCUCUAAUCUAUUCUACCUUCGGCCACCGAGGAACACAAUGUAUAGAAUAUAAAACAAUCUUACUUUCUAUUCAUAUGUGUAGGAUAAUCAAACAACCAACACAUUGUGUUGCAUAAGGCACAACAGAGACAAACUGAUCACACCCUAUGUAAAUGGAAAUUUUACAUGGUUUAGGCAUACAAUUAAAAUACUUUAUUAGUAUAAAAUGUUUCGUAUAUAUUGUUGGACCAAAAGAUUUAUGGUAUAAAACUGUGCUCAUUGUUUUUUUAAUUUUGUGGUGUAAAUUUUUUGACAAAAAUACUAAUAAGAGAACAUGCAGGUGGUGGAGAUAAUGCCCGCACACCGGCCCACACACCAUUCGCAGCUCCGCACUCACUCAUCCUUGCCCACAACCCUAUACUUACUCAUCCUCUACCCUUGUCUCUCUCUCUCUGUGUCUGUCUGUCUCUCUCCCUCCCCCUCUCUCUCUUCUUUAAGCGGCGAUGGUAGCAGUGCGACAGAUUUGCGCCGGAAAAGCUCCGGUGGCCCCCGCCCACGUCCCACCGCCUCCUCGCUUCUGUGCCCGCACCCACCGCUUCUCCUGCAAGCGGCCAUGGCAGAUCUGGUGGCUACGACAAUGGAUCUGGCGGCGAUAGCGAAUCCACCAGAUCUAGCGGUGGUAGGGCCAGGUAGGCCUCUUCUUCCUCCUCCUCCUCCUCCUCCUUCUCUCUCCUCCCUCCUCUCUCGUGUUAAAGUUUUGAUGAGCACUCCCUUCUUCUCCAAUCCUGGUGUUGUAUAGUCAUAUAGAAUGGUCGGCCGAGGAGCGGCAGGUAGGCCAGGCGGCGGAAAUAGUCGAUGAGUGGCUUAGCAGAGCUAGCGACGAUAGGGGUGGUCAGGCCAGGUUAGGGUGGAGUAGGCUUGCCGGAGCUAGAGAAGAUGAUGACAGUGGGAAAGGGUGUAGAGAAAAGGGUGGCUGCCAAGGCGCUAGGGUGCAGCCCUAGCUCGCUGGAUCUCCGGUAAAGAAGUUGGUGAACCCUAGAUCUGAUUUUCCCCCUUUUUUGGUAACUAUAGUAUUUUUUUUCUCAGAUUAGAGUGUGCAGCUAGAAAUUACUGUACGCAUGACACAUCCUCUAGUAAAAUCCAUUCUUUGAACUAGUGAUGGGACCUAGGAUACAUCAUCUAGGAGUACACGACGGGGCUUAGGGUAGAGGAGUUUGUUCGCUUGUCUUAUCAGCCGUAUUUUCUUUGCUAGCCAACAAUAUUUUUUUUUACAAUAAAUCAACAAAUAGUAUUUUCAAUCAUAACUUUUUAGAACAGCGCUGCGUGUAUCGCUGCCCCAGUCGGUCAACGCCGGAGCCGAAUGGCAACAAACGGCCGCGCUGCCGUGCCGUGAUGCUGCUGCGAGCAGCGGCAUCCCAGAUUCCCACCGCUUCUUCCAGCCUGUCGUGUCGUCGUCGUUCCCGCAGCCCAAGCAACCCGCCCCCCUUUGCUCCGCUUGGACACUACACAGCCUCUCGGCCCCACCUGUCAUCCAAAGGUAUCGGCAAAAGGCGGCACGAGCAGUCGAGCACCCCUCCUAACCGUCCUUCUCUCACUGACAUGCUUGGACCUACUAUGCUGUUGUCGUCUUGCACACACGAACACGGAGGACACGUGUCAGCUAGUUAUAGGAUGGCGCACGUCAGAGUUUGUGCGACGGUGUCGCAGGGAUUGCAUCUCAGUUACUGACAGGUGGGUCGACAACAUGUACCCCACCUGCCAUGAGACCGCGUGAUCACCAACCACGCGCAUCGCGUGCUCCACCCCCCACCCCACUGCCACACGGGGUCCACAACAUGUGACCCUACACGUCAUGGACGAAGCACGCGGUUGCCCGAGAAGCGUAGAAUUGUAGGGCUCCUGUUUGUGUAGCAAAAAAAAGGGCCUCCCGAAACGAAAGCGCUUCCCCAGGGGGCACGGGCCAGUCGGGCACGAUUUUUUUUCCCCAUUCCCCUCUCGCUUCGCAAUCGCGUGAUCCAUGGCUUCCUCGUCGAUCCACAUCCACCGUCCCCGGCUCGCCGGCGACGAGAUUCACCGGACCCUGGAGGCCUCCUACUCCCCCAGCGCGUCUUACUGCUCCGACGACGCCUUCGUCCCUGUCUUCCGCCCGGAUCCGUCCGCCCCGUCCGCGUCCGCGUCGGCGGCGGUGGCUGCGGCGGCCGACCGCGUCCGCAGCCUCUUCAGCUCCGUCGACGUCGCCCUGUUCCGCGACGCGCUCUUCGCUCCCGUGUGCGACGGCGACGGCGACCGCGACGGCCUCGGGUUCACGGACGCGGACGCGGAGGCGGCAGAGUACGACGGCGAUCUCACCUCCAUCUGCUGGGAUUGCCUCGAGAUCGAGGACGCCGACGACCCGCUCGUCGCCUCCCCCGCCGCCGAGGAUUUCGAGUGGGAGGAGGUCGUGUCCCCCUCGGGCGCCGCCGGGGAAGCCCCGGAGCCCGAGUGGGAGGUGCUCGCCGACGUGCCCCCGCCGCCCGCCACCGCUGCCGACGCCGAGGACGGGUUUGUGUACACCUCCCACCACAGGGAGGAGGCGGCGGCGUACGAGGUGCUCGUGGCAGGCGGGGAGGGGAUGUUCCUCAAGAACAAGCCCCCGGCCGCCAGAUCCGCCGUUGAGGCGCUCCCGUCCGCCGUCGUCGCGGCUGGCCAGGAAGGGGAGGGAGACGAGUGCGCGGUGUGCAAGGAUGGAGUCGCCGCCGGCCAGCGCGUCAAGAGGCUGCCGUGCUCGCACCGCUACCACGACGACUGCAUCGUGCCGUGGCUCCAGGUGCGCAACUCGUGCCCGCUCUGCCGCUUCGAGCUGCCCACCGACGACCCGGAGUACGAGUCCUGGAAAGCCGGCCGAGCCGUGGCCCGGUGAAUCAUCCAACCAGGCGGUGGACGCAUGCCCUUCUGGUAUGGUUUUAUAGAGUUGUAUGUAUGGGUUGGUUUUGAAUCGGAUGCUUUGGUUACAUUAUACAAGGUUGUUACUCAGCUGUAUCAAAGGCAAAGUAUAGUGGUAGAUGCAGAGAUGGUUUUGUGCGACUUGAUCGGUUUUCUUUUCUCCUGAAAGAGGGACUUAUGUUUGUCCAAAUGACAGAGGUUGACAUACACUAGUUGGUACUACAUACAUACUGUUGUAUUUAUUCUAAAAAUUCAGAGAGGUUAGCUGAAUAUCUUGAUGCAAUGGAAUGAUUUACUUGUUCCAUAUUUAGAGAGGAUAGCUGUAUAUCUUGAUGCAAUGGGAUGAUUUGCUGGUUGGAUAUUCUGGGGGUUACAUUAUGAUUGAUUGUUGGUAUUGACUCUCCAAUAUUAUCUUUACUUUAUUAGAAUAUCAUAUUGUACUUUUACAAUCAUGUUUAUAGCGACACAGACAGCAACCAUUGAUGGCUCUGUUUUAGCUGCUGAUUCGUAGUGUUCAGUGAUUCAUAGUAGCACAAAUAUUUCAGAAAAAAGCUUCAAGGGCCCUAUUUUUAGAUAACGAAAAAAAUUCUAGAGGAUGAAGUUGGCGUGACCUGUACUGUAAGGCCAUUAUAACCUGCUCCGUAAUUGAUUGACCUUGACAUUAGGUGGUCUGGUGUAAAGUGUGGAGUGAUUGGACUUUGUUGCAGUAGAUUUUACAAGAGCCUGACAUGGCCUGUAACAACAGUACAACUCCACUGAUUCUUACACAAUAUUUUGUCAUAUGUUCUUACUUCACCUACAAGGGGUAGCCCAUUUUCUUGAUAUGAUCUUGCUGCUGAAUCCAUGUAGAAGUGUGCAUUGUUUGGCGACAACUUGAUCAGGUUCCUGCAAGCACCCACUCAGACAUUGAUGCUACUGCUAAGCAAUAAUCCAAAAAAAACACAACAAUGUUUGUCUUGGUUUUAGACUUUUAGUAUGAUCCAAUGAUCUGUACCCUCUAAUUUUAGAAAAGAAUAAUUCACAAUCAAUAUGCUAUUGAGAAAAAAAAUGCAGUGAGCAAUUUUCCAUUAGUCAUAAUGAAAUAAACCUUCCAUCUGUGAUAUUGCUAGUUUAAUUGACUUUUAGAGAUGUAGUAAGUCCACCUAGUUUUGCAGAAUAAUGUAACUACAUGUUAUCUUAACAGAAUUAUGCGGAAGUUCAUUGAUACUUGGAGGAUUAUGGUUGCUCUGAGCGGCAAUAUGAAUGGUAUAUUAGUAGAUAAGUUAUUAAAAUCUGUUGCAGGGUUUCUCUUUGGCAUAGGAUAGAGUGCAGAUGUUCUGAUUUUGAAUGAAAGCAAUAUUAAUGUUCAUUGCCCUUACCUUGCGGGCUUGUGGCACAAAUUUGGAUUGAAGGGAUCUGUGAUGGUGUGUUGAAGUCUGGGGGGGGGUUAGCAAGGGGCUGGGGCUGGAGUGUGUAGGUGAUUUUGUAUCAAUGUAAGAUUGAGAUUUUCAUUUUAACAUAAGGGCUUUCUCCAACAUUACCACCCUUUUGAAGGUAAUCCAAAAUUUACGUAUUUCAUUUCUCUGUUUUUGGAUUAUUUUGGAUCGACUCAGUUUUGUGCAUUUCGAAUACUUGAUGAUUUGGACUUGGUUUAGUUGAGAUUGAUUUUUAAUUUUUCACGGCAGAAUCAAAGGUCUUUAUGUUGGUGAGAUAGUACACUAAAUGCAAAGUUGGUUUUGGAGAUCAGGAUAAAUUAAGCAUUGGUCAUCUUUUAAUCCGAUUUGGUGGCUUACUUUUAUAUGCUGAUGUGUUCUCUUUACGACUGUUCCAAUAUCAAAUACCCUUGUUAUUUUGUAUAAUGUUCCAAGUUUAUCUGGCUGGCCUGACUUGAUAUCAGCACUGAAUUUAUGGCUACUUCUAUUGUGUGAUACUUGUGGAAUAUGGUUCAUUGAACUUCCACCAUGAUGUGACCGAAUAACCAAAUCAGACGAAGCAGAUCUGCUAGAUUGAAAACUAGUGCAAGAUCUUCACUGGGGUUCAACGUUGAAUGAUGCCCACCCUAUUUUGUAUCUUCUUGCUCAUGCAACUCAGUAAUGCAACUUUGCAACUAGUCUACUUGCUCAGCCCAACAAGGCUGAACGUGAACAGGUUGUCAUGGCACCUGGCCCAUGGCAAACGACAAUUUUCAACUAGAAAAAAAGUACUUUAGGACCCUCAACUUUCACGAAAGUCUGUUUUUCAUCCUUAAACUUCAAAAUCGGGUAAAACUCUCAAUUUUUGAAACCAUGCAUAUUACGUCCCUGACAUGGUUAUGAGCGGUUUUGAAAUCAGUUGUGUCUUUUUUUAUUUUUAUUUAUAUUUAUUUUGACUGAAUAUUGUAAAAUUAUAGUAAAUCAUAUAAAAUUAAUAAAAUAGUAAAUUUGAUUUUGUUGGACUCCAGAUAAGUAGAUCUACACAGUGAACAUAUAAUAUGGUAUGUUUUAGUACGAAGUUUUUGUUGUAGCUUUUGAUUUGUGUUUUUCUAUAAUUAAUUAAAAUAAUUCAUAGCUAUAGGUUGUAUGGUCCAAUUGUGAUGAAUUUUUUUUAUGUAGGGCUAGUUAUUAUAUGUUUAAACUUUUUUGGGAAACUAUUAUAUGUUUAAACUGUGGUAAAGAUUUCAUAUUCAUUAGAUCAUGUAUAACUUAAUUAUAGAUUUAUUAAAAUUUAACAAGCAUAAACCUAAAUAAAUCUAUAACUAAGUAAUGCAUAAUCUAAUGAGUAUGAAAUUUUUACUACAACUCAAGCAUAGAAUAAUUAGCCCAUCAUAUAAUUUUCAUCACAAUUGGGCCAUAGAAACUGUAGCUAUAAUUAGUCUAAUUAAUUACAGAAAAGCAUAGAUCUAAACUACAUCAAAAAAUUUGUACUAAAAAAUACUAUAUUAUAUAUUUAAUAUGUAGACUUACUCAUUUGAAGUCCAACAAAAUUAAGUUUUCUAUUUUAUGAUUUUUAUGUGAUUUACUGUGAUUUUUUAAAAAAUUUAGCCGAAAUAAAUAAAAAAAAGACAAAACCGCUUUCAAAACCGGUCAGGGAUGUAAUGCGUACGGUUUUAAAAGUUUAAGGACCCAUGAUGAUUCAACAGAAAUCUCGAUCAGCAAGUCAAGAUUCAUUACUCAUUUUUUUUGAAAGUCAUUGGGUGUGUUUGUUUUUUUGGCCAACUUCUAGCAUGGCUAGAAUCUUAGCCUGCUUUCAUCAAACAAACUCCUGGUUGUUUGGUUCUCUGUCUUAUGUUAGCCUAGCUAAUCUUAGGGUGUAUUUGGUUACCUGGUUUAUUUUGAUAUACUUAUCUCUUCUCUGAACCAGUAAAAUUACCCAUUGAGACAUUUUGUCGAACAAGUGGUGGGGGUGCCUGCACAUGCUUUGAGGCUACGGCCACGACGCCGCCCAAGUCCUCUUCAGCCCGCUCUUGCUCUAGGGCUACACCAUGGCCAUCGGCUUGUCUAGGCCCACGGCCACCACCACUACCCGACAGCCACGGAGACGACGCAUGACACCAGAGAUACGAUUUAGAGAGCCACAGAGACGAUCACAAAGAGCCAUGAUUCAAAGAGCCAUGGACACGAUUCAAAGAUCCACGGACACCUGGCAGCCACGGAGACGAUGCUUCGGGACGUGAUUCGAUGGAUGGAAGAGGAGCCUUGGGAGGAAGAUCUGUGUAGCUAACUAGCGGCGAGCCGAGCUUCGAGCAGCGUUGAGUCGACGUCCCGUACUCCAUGGAUUGAUUGAAGCAGCAACAGGCGAGCAAUUGAGUGGAAGUCAACGAGCAGGGCCAUUGCUCGUACGGGUCCUCGGCAGCGAGUGCGUCCUUGCCCUUAGGCCUCGUUGUGUAGGGCUGCGCAGAGAACAAACCCGAGGAAAGACAGCACGAAGAACAACAACAAUGGUCACCGUGGUCCGGGUGGCCAUGGUGAUGGCACGUCGCCGGCAGAAAGGAGAUGUCAAGCUUCUGGGAUCCGCGGAGGCGAAGAGGAAGAGGCACGCGACCACCAUGAUCAAGGGCGUGGAGAGCAGCCUCGCCACACCCAUGGUGAUAUUGCGUAGCAUCGCGUACGCCAUGGAGUUAUUGGGAUGGAGUGCGACCUGCGCGGGGAGGGGAGGUGAACAGCAGGGAGGGAGGUGUUGCGAAACACACGAAGAGCUGGACAGAAAAAUAACGGUUGAAUUGGGCGUUCAACCUGGGCCCAGCUUCAAUUGUACAAUUCAACCAAAGGCAGAGCUGACCAUCCAACCAAACACAACAUGUAUAUUUGGACCUUGUACAUUGUUGGCGUAUGUAUUUUACUACUUGUACAUAUGUGGACCUUGUACAUUUGGUUCUCAUACAGACAUAUAUUGACAGGCUAUUUGGUUCUCAACAGUAACAUCGUACUUAGUGUGUGUUUGGUUGGGAUCGCUAAAGUUUAAUAUGUACUGUAGUAUUUUCGUCUUAUUUGAAAAUUAUUGUCCAAUUAUAGAUUAAUUAGACUUAAAAGAUUCGUCUCGCAAAUUACUCUCUGACUAUGCUUUUAGUUUCAUAAAUAGUUUAUAUUUAGUACUUUAUGUCUUUGAUAUAACUGGCAAGUUUACCGAAUGACAAACACCCACUGUGAUGAUUGGCGGCACGGCAUUCGUAUUUUUCACGUGAUGGACCGUACGGCGGCGUCUCGGGGGUGAAUGGAUAUGGAUGAGCUACCUGGAUGGGCCUGCCUCAUCCAUCCGUCUCCGCCCGCAGGAAACGUACGGCGGCAGUCGCAGUGGCCGGUCUCCUCCGAUCCGCCUAUACUGGGACGACACGAUCGAGGCCUGCUUCCGAUCCGGCGGCUCCUGGCCUGGGAGAAGUGGCGGCCGUGCUCGCGAUCGUCACGCGGCAACACGCAAAAGCAUCAACGACGACGUACGACAGCCAGCCCCGGAUCGGAUCAGGCCAGCCGGGGAUGCAUAUAUAUAUAUAUAUAUAUAUAUAUAUAUAUAUAUAUAUAUAUAUAUAUAUAUAUAUAUAUAUAUAUAUAUAAAUAAUAGGUACGUCAUGGUCAUGGAUUUGACGCUAGCUACCAGCUGGUGCGCCAUGCAUGUAAUUGGAAUGGAAUAGGCUUUGUUUAGAUGUCUUUAAAAUUCCAAAAGUUUACAGAAUUUUUUGUCACAUCGAAUUUUUAUAUGUAUAUAUAAAUCAUUAAAUAUAGAUAAAAAAUAUAAGUUUGUUUUUUUAAAUCACGAGACAAAUCUUUUGAAUAUAUGAUUAGAUACUAAUUGCUAAAUACAAACGAAAGUGAUGUAGUAGUCAAAUUCUAAAAAAAAAAUUUAGAUCUUAACAAUGCUGCGUGCGUGCGCGAGCAACCUGUACCUGUAGAUCGAUCAACAUGCGGCGUUAGUUAUGCGUCGCAUUGGUGUCAAACUCAAAUUCAAAGUGGAUUGGCGUCACCACGCAUGCACACGGUACGGUGACCUGCUGGUGCUGGUGGGCACAAUACAACACACAAGACACAGAAAGAAUAUACAGCACUUGCUCCCCACCUGCUGUCGUCCUUUGCCUAAUUAAGCCGUGUCACCACCGAACAAAGAUUUGACAUUAAAAAAAGAGAGAGAGAGAAAACAGUCAAAAAAAAAGUACCAAAUAAAGCCAUGCAUGCAUGGGUCUAGUGAUCUGAGAAACGUUCUAUCUGAUUCCUUCUGCUUACCACUAAUAACAAUGUACGUAACAACAGCUAGGUAGCUAGCUAGCUUUAAACAGACACGAGCUAGCACACAAAUAAGUAUAUGCAUGCAUGUACGUGGUUUAAUUAUUAGGCCAUCUCUAUAUGGAUAUCACGUUAAAAAGACAGAAUCCGAGUCAAAAACCAUAUAUUUGGACCAGUGGGGAAGAUGAGAGCUAAAUAAUUAAACUUUUUAUUAUAUAUAUACUUUCCAAUGCACGAGAAAUAUAAAUACCCCUCCACCGAUCUCUGUAUUUUUUUGUGCGAGACCCGGUUACAGACACAGACGCUCACAAAUAAGAGCGCACACUUACUCCUAUAAACGUACACAUGCACACCCUACUCCUACGACUCUAUUUGAAAAACCGAGUUGGAUUGGUAAAUCUCGAGAAUGACGAAGUUACCACAUGCCGCCUCGCUGUCGAGGGGCAGGUCGCCUACCAACACUAUUAAAUUCUAAAGUAAAUCCAGAAAAAUACGAGCACUCAUGUCAAAUCGGGGACUUAAACCCGCGUAGACAGAAGUUCCACCAUAAAAAACACAACCAACUGAUCUACGAUCAGUUCGCGAUCUCUUUAUUGACAGGAGAGAAUGUAUAAGCUAGCAAAGAACAUCUUACAUGUGAAAAUAAUAUGUAGAAUAAGAGAUGACAUCUAAGAGUCAAGUACUUGAUUCUUGCUACUGGAAUUGCCAUUGUAUCUGCUUUAGCGUGGCGGAUCGGAUCGGAUGAGAGCGUGAGUGCAUACAGUAAUCCAAUAAUAUAGGACGGGACAGAGCGAGAGUACGCGUAUAGGCUUGUUGAGUUCUAAAAUUUUAGAAAACGAUACUGUAGCACUUUCGUUUUUAUUUAAAAAACAUUGUUCAAUCGUGGAGUAACUAGCCUUAAAAGAUUCGUCUCACGAUUUACAGACAAACUAUAUAAUUAGUUUUUAUUUCUAUCUAUAUUUAAUGUUUCAUAUGCAUGUGCCGCAAGAUUCGAUGUAAUAGGAAAUUUUGAAAAGUUUUUGGUUUUUUAGGUAAACUAGACAAGGCCUAAUAUAAAACAGAGGACGAGAGCUAGUGUCAUCAUAGUCAUGCAUGUAUAGCUCAUACAUACAGCUAGGUAGGAGAAGGGAGAGGGACGGACGGGGAGUCUUAUCCAGAGCUAGCUGUCUGGACCCAUGCAAUGCAAUCUGUCUGUUCUCCCGGCACCAAGCUAGCAGGCAAAGGCAAAGCCGGCCUGCGUCCGCCACCCAAUCGGCAGCCUAAACUGCCAAUAAUAAUUUAUUUAACGUAGGACUUGCAAAGGCGACGCCGGCCGGCCUUCACUCGCACAGACGGCGAUGUAGAGAAACCAUGCAAAGUGGGCUUGUCCUUCCAUUCCUCGGCCCCGUCCCGUCGUCCGCGCACAGUUGAGCUACAGUAGUCAGUAGGUGAGGUGAGGUGAAUGCAUGUAUGAAUUAAAAAAAAAGAAAAUGGCAAUUUCGUCAUCAUUAAAAAUGGACUUCGCUACUUUACCAUUCCGCAAAUUGAAUUCGCUACUUUGCUAUUAUAAAACGUGGUUAUCACGCUCUUUUAGCCUAUUACAUAGUUUCUAUUCCCGAAUUACUCUUGCCUCUUCAAUCUAAAAUUCCUGUCGCCCUUCCCAGACCCAUCCGCCACCACGCACCCUCCACCAUCCACGGCGACGGCAGCCUCUUGACCCCGACGACGCGCCUUCCCCCAUCCAUGGUGGCAAAGGCCUCCUCACCCUGGCACGCCUCCUCCACCCUCGACGUGACCUCCUCACCUCGGGGCACCCUCCCUCUACCUCGGACGGCGCGCCCUCCUCACCCUGGCACAACCUCUUCCACCCCGGUGUGCCUCCUCCACAUCGGUGGCGCUCCUCCUCCAUAGAACACGAGGCAGAUCCGGCAUUGUGGUGGUGUCUCCUCUCCCCUCCACGCCGUGCAUGCUCCCCCAAGUCCAACAGCUCUCCACCCCGGGCAGCACGGCUUCCUCCCGACCUCCCCUACCUCCGGCACGUCUUCCUGCCUCAUCCCUCUCUGCUGGAGCUCGAGCAAGCAGCAAGGGAACAUCGAGGCCGUGUCCUCCACGCAUUCUCGCAUCCUUGCGGCGGCAGCACGAGGCAGACCCUCGUGGCGUGCGCUCUUGCACCCUUGUGCGGUGUGCGCACCUCCACACCCCACGCAGCGCGCGUUCCUCUCCCGCCAAUCCGGUGGCGCGCGGCUCCUUGCCGGCUGCCCCAGCCAUGGUCGAGGAUACGAGGUUCAUAGGGGCAGAGGUAAUUUGGGGAUACAAAUUGGGUAGCGGACUAAAAUGGUAUUCUAGCGUGAUGACCGCGUUUCAUAAUGACAAAGUAGCGAAUCCCAUUUGCAGGAUAUAUAGUAAAGUAACGAAGCUCAGUUUUGAGGAUGGCGAAAUUGCUAUUUUCUUGAAUAAAAAGGCUAGUGCAACCAACAACGCAGAUCGAGACACCGCGAGCGAGGUGCUAGCUGCCGAUUAGUGACUAAUUGGUUCCAUUAUGCCAAAGGACUCUAGCUCAAUAGGUUAGAGCUUUUUAACGGUAUCCUCCUAAUCCUUGCUUAAUGAAAAAAUGGGUGGGGCCAUCAUUCCCCGUAAUUGGUUGCAUUAUUGACCGUGGAAGAGAAAAGGCUGUGUUGAAUCUUUUUUAUUCGUUUGAGUUUAUCUACCAAAUCUAUCAACUAUUCAGCAGUAUUUUUCUCUCCUAAUAAAUUAAGGUAGCUUUUCAUAUUGCGUUCGUGCGUGCGUUCCGAAAUGCUCAAGGAGACAGACAGCAAUACGCGGCUAGUCUGACCCAUGCAUGUAUACAGACUCAGCAUAUAUAGCGCAGGAAAAGGUCGAUCUAUAUCAUCGUCCAUGCAUGCAUGCAACGCAACGCACACAGGUAAGUCAGCAUGCAUUUCAUUCGUGCGCACCGCGCCGGUGUCGGCCUACCGUUGCUCAUCUCUCAUCUCAUCCGAUUCUGAUCCGUUCCGUUCACCGGGUGGUACACAUAUGCAUUUCCGGAUGACGGGACGACGGCACAUGCAUUUGGUGAGGCACUACAGCUUCUUCAAUAGUACCAUAAAGCUGUUUGGAGCUGUUUUAUAUCACAUCGAUAUAUAUUUUUUAAAUAAACAGUUUUACAUAUCAAUUUUUUUAAAAAACCUGCUCUCACGGAGAAUUAUAUUGUUGUAUGAUAAAGCUGGAAAAUACACUAGUAGGGAACAAACUUUCGGUUCUAGGCUUUAGUCACAACCAUUUUUGGACUUGGGACUUAACAAAAGGAUUAGUUCCGGUUGGAGCUACUAAUCGAGACUAAAGUUUGUUCUUCAACAGUUAGAGUAUUCAUAUUGCACGCAUAUACAACCUCUUCAAAUAUUUGUAUAUAUGUAGUUCAUAUAUUUUAGUGUGUUAUUUAUGUAUAAUGAUCGAAUAGAACCUUAUGUGUAUGUACAUUAGCAGUGUAGUAUUCGUAUCCAAAUAGCUAAUUGAAAUAAAAAAGAAUUGAAUUGAAAAGAAAUCAUAAAAAGAAAAGGAAAGAAAUAAAAAAGAAACUCCUUAGUACCGGUUGGUGUUGGAACUAAAUAUGGCAAUUUCGGAGCAAGGGUCUGGGAGCCCAUUUAGUCCCGAUUGGUAUAGAAACCGAAACUAAAGGUUCACUUUCAAUUCCGGUUCCCAUAACCGGGCUAAAGACGGGGAGGGGGGGGCUUUGAUCCCGAAUUGGCAAUCCUGAUUGGAAAACCAGAACUAAAAAGGGUUUCCCAACCAAAGACUGAUGCUCAGUCCUGCUGUGCACUAGUGAUACAAGUUUCUCUCAUCUUUCAGCUGCACCAGUGAGCCACCCCUAGCAUGGACAAACGUCGAAUUUGCUUCGGGAGCAGGAAAGGACAGGCUCAGCCGCUGAAAAACGCAUAAGUGCAUCCUCAAUGGCUCUCGACUUCGAUAGUUGAGUACGCCCUAUGUAAAAAAGAGAGAUUAACUAAAAUCAUCGCGGUAGUGAGUCUUCAAUAGCCUAUCUUGCAUGAGUCUCAAAAUAUUUUGUGUCUAAUAUACUUCCUCUGUCUCUAAAUAUCUGUCACUGUUGGUGCGCGCGCCACAAGUUUAACUCUAUUUAUAAAAAAUACAUGUAAUAUUUGUAUAUCUAAAUAAAUUUAUUAAAAAUCUAGAAUUAAAGAUCUUUCUAAUUUGGUAUUAAUUCUUUACCAUAAAUAUUAAUAAUUUUUAAAUAUAUAUUUUGUCAAAGUUGUUUCUUGAAAAACACAAAUAUUUAAAGAUAGAGAGAGUAUGCAUCAUACUCUGACCACUCAGUCUACCGCUUUAUCUUUUAAAAAAAAUAAUUUUAAGCCUCCACGUUAGCCAGCUAGCUAUUUGUGCACGCCGUUGAGGAUACUCCGAGCCACCAAGGCAUGCAGCCAGCCACGAUUGCGUC